rnacentral:lncRNA from 1 species
CUAUUUCUAUUAUUCUUUUUAUGCUCUGAUACCAUAUAAUUUGUCACGCUCUGAGACCCGCCUCUUUGGUCGGAUUCGGGCAUGCCAACAAACCGCCGAACGGACAGGAUUUCCCUUGUACCGCGGACAGAGUUUUCCCUGUACGUCCAAGGCGUCGCAACAGUACAAAUCACGAGGUUCCAACUAGAAACAGAUUUUAUACAUGAUUGCAUAAGAAAGAUAUCAAAACAUAAAGCACAACUAUGCUAUUACACGCAUUCGUCUCAAUUUACAACCAAUUUACAUUUUUGACUUCCAAAUACAAUCCACAUAUUACACUUUAUUACAUUCUUUUCUUUUGUCCCUAAGUUAAGCCGACUCAGGGUACUGCUAUCUCUGGUCUCGGUGGUAGGGCGCUAUCUACGGAGCUACGCCCUUUCCUCGCGCCGCCGCGCCGCUCGCGUGUGAACCUGAAGCUCUAUGGCAGCGGAUUUCUACUCUUAAAAAAGAAUUAGCUGCAGCCGAAUCGACUCUUGUUCGUACUUCUGAGCGUCGGCUAUUCUUGCAAGACCAACUGAAUGCUAAGAAGAGUGAAGGGAUGAAGCUUCAAAAUCGGCUUUCUCAACUUUAUAAGUUGCAUCCUUUAAUGAAACGCAAGAAGAAGGCAGCCGAAGUCGCUCAAUCGAACUUAGAAGCCGAAUGGAAUCAUCAUAAGGACUUAUUAUCUUGAUUCGGCUAAUAAUUGUAAUAUUUUUAUGUUUUUAACUCUGACUUUCAUUUCCCACAUGGAUGGGUAAUAUUUCUUUAAAUAUUUUUCGUUUAUUUGCUUAUCAUGCUCAGACCCAUCUAGGCUUUUAAAUAAUAUGCAUUUUCUUUUGUGAUUCUAUUAAUUUGAAAUAGUCCUUCCCAAUUUAGAGACCAUUUUUCAUAUAUUCGAUCCUUUCGACCGAUUGGAAAUAUUAAUCUAAGAACCAAGUCUCCAACUGCGAAAGACUUAGCUUUAACUCUUUUAUUGUACGCAUUGCAGCUCUGAUAAACUUGUAAAUGGUCAACUGCUAUCAGCCGAGUUUCAUUCAUUUCAUCCACUCUUUCAUUCAUUAAAAUUUUAUAUUCGUUUGCCGUUAAUUCUUUUUGUUUUUCUACCCUCAAAGAGGGAACUGUUAUCUCGUCUGGUACUACGGCCUCAUGGCAGUAUACUAAUUAAAACGGCGACAGGUGUCGCCAUUUUUACUGAAGUUCGGCAUGCCCACAAUAUUUCGGAGAGUUUCUCAUUCUAUUUCCUUGGGUGCUUUCCAAUAUGCCGCUUCAUAAGAUUUAUCAUGAUUACCUUAUUUGCUACCUCGGUUUUUUCCAUUGGCUUGAGCAUAAUAAGGUGAUGAAUAAAGUAACUUAAUCUUUCUGGACUCAACGAACCAGGUAAAUUGUCCCCCGGUAAACAUUGUUCCUUGAUCGGUUGUAAUCGUCUCGGGAACUCCAAAACAAUGAAUUAUAAAGUCUUCAACAAAAUCAAUAAUUUCUUUUUGAGUGACCAAUCUAGCGGGUUUUACUUCUACCCACUUAGUGAAAUAGUCAACGACCACUAUCAAAAACUUAUGACUAGCCAAAGAAUUCGGCUGAAUUUCUCCAAUUAAAUCCAUAGCCCAACCUCGGAAAGGUCAAGGUUUAAUUAUUGCGUACAUCUCAGAGGCAGGGACUCUCUACACGGAGCCAUGGUAUUGACAAUCUUGGCAACCUUUAGCGUACUCUAUGUAAUCUUGAUGCAUAGUCGACCAAUAAUACCCCAAGUGUUGAAUUGUCCAUCUUAGUCUUUUCCCUGCUAAAUGGGCUCCACACAAGCCUUCGUGGGCCUCUCCCAUGACCAACAAGGCUUCUUCAGGCCCCAAACAUUUUAAUAACACUUUUUCGGCUGUUCUCUUAUAAAGUUGUUUAUUUAAUAAACAAUAGCCGAGUGCUCUUCUUUGAAUAUUAUAGUCGAGUCGCUUGUUAGAGUCUUGUAAAUAUCCAAUUAUAGACUUUCUCCGGUCUUCUUUGACCUCUAUAGGAACGAUUAUUUUCGGCUCUCGUAUAUGAACCGAUGGUAAUAGCCUUCGUACCAUUUUCACUUGAUCCUGUUUCGAUUCUUUAUACCCUGAGGCCGAUUGGGCUAAUUCAUUAGCCUGUUUAUUUCCUUCUCUGGGCAAAUACUCAAACUCAACCUUCCCAAAACUGCAAAGUAAUUAUAUCGUUUUUCUCAAAUAAUUUUACAAAUUUCGAUUUUUACAUCAGAAUUCUCCAUUCACCUACUUAAUUACCAAUUGUGAAUCACCGAUGACCUUGAGCGAAUAUACUCCUAAUUCUUAUAAAAUUUCAAUGCCAAUUAUUAAGGCCUCAUAUUCGGCUUGGUUAUUAGAAUAACCAAAAUUUAAUUCAAAAGUAAAUCGAUGAAUAUAUCCUUCAGGAGACUGUAUAACCACCCCAGCUCCUGCGGAUUCGUCUGUUUUCGAGCUGUCAAAAUAAAGUAUCCAAGGUUGACAGCCGACUAUAUUUUGUUCUGGCUCUUCAAACUCAACACAUGGAUGAUCAGCCAGAAAAUCGGCUAUUGCCUGCCCCUUAACACCUUUUGCUCGGACAUAAUUAAGAGAGAAUUCGGAUAAGGCUAACAUCCAUUGUCCGAUUCGACCUCUUAAUACAGGCUUAGAUAGCAUAUAUUUCACCAGAUCAGUUUUGCAGAUUACCGACACUUCGGUUGGUAAAAUAUAAUAUCUUAAUUUUGUACAGGUAUAGUAUAAGGCCAAACAUAAUUUUUCGAUUGCCGAAUAUCGUUUUUCGGCAUCUAACAGUCGCCUGCUUAGAUAAUAAAUGGUUUGCUCUUCUUUUUCUUCAUUUUCUUGUGCCAACAAACAAUCUGAAUUUUCUUCUGUAGCCGAUAUGUAUAACUUCAUCGGCUGUCCUUAUUUAGGAGGCAUAAGGACUGGAGGAUUCACUAAAUAUCUUUUAAUAUUUUCAAACGCUCCUUGCUGUUUCUCUGUCCAACUAAAUUCUUCCUGAUUUCUAAGUCGAAGUAAUGGAGUGAAAACACCUAUUCUACCGGCCAAGUUUGAUAUAAAUCGCCGCAAAUAAUUAAUUUUUCCUAAUAAGCUUUGUAACUCCUUACUUUUUGGUGGCGGCAAAUUUAAUAUAGCUUUGGCUUUGUUUUUAUCAAUUUCAAUCCCUUUUUUAUGUACUAAAAAUCUCAGAAAAUUUUUCGCUGAAACUCUGAAAGCACAUUUCAAAGGGUUCAUUUUCAAAUUAUGUAAUAUUUCGGAUUUUUAAUAUAAAAGUAAAGUGUAAAUAAAAAUAGUGUAAGAUAUUAUUUUUAUUGGACAUAGAGAAGUAAAAUAUAAGUCGGAAAUGACUUGUGCUGAAAAUGGAACGGAAAUAGAAGAUUUAGAAUUUUCUGUAAGAAACGGGGCUGAUUUUUAGCAGAAAAUUCACAGUAUCAGAAAAUAAUAAAAAUUGGAGAAUAUGUCGGAAUUAUUUUUAUGAGGCGAGAUUUAAAGUUCAUAUCAUUCCGACACCCGAAAAGUAAAAAAUAAAAUCUGACUGCUAUCUGCUAGAGAUUCGGGUCGGUAGAACUUUCGGUGACCAAAAAAUGGUCCAAACUGAAAAGUUUAGAUAUUAUUUUUUCUUAUUAAUUUUAAUCUAGUCUGAUUGUCAAAUUUGAGAGCAAACGGAUAUUCAUAAGGGUUUCGGCGAGAAGUAUCAGAUUCUGAACUGCUAAACUGAAAUUUGUGAAGUGCAAUUUCGAUUUUUGUGGGGGAUUAUGUGUAAUUGGCUGAUCUUAUCUACAGGCUAGCACACCCCCAGCAGUUUCCAUACUUAUUCCACCUUCUCUUUUCUCCUUUCCUUUUGUUUCUUUCUCCCUCCCUCUCUCUAACCUAUGGUGUUGGACCUUGUGAAGUAGGGUUGGUGGGAGUUGAUGUGGUAGGCUGUGAGGAAGCCUUUUGAGCAGAGAAACCAGCUAGGAAAGUCUCCAACCUGAGGUAAGGUUGAUGAAUUUCUUGUUUAGGGUUGUGUUGGUUGCUCAAAAGAAGGUUUGAGCUAUAGGUCUUGGUUGUAGUACUUCUAGUUGCUAUGAAAAACUUGGAAAUAGUAUUAUGGACAUCAUGUAUACAUUUGGGCCGUUACUUGGUUAGGGUUUAUUGUGUUUAAUCUAAUGAAAAUUGAACUUUGGAUUCCUUGCUGGUUAGAGUAUAUAGCUGCCAUGAAAUCUAAAGAAAGAAUCUAGCUUAGAAUUUGGCACUCUAGAGCUCAUGUUAUUAUGAAAACUUGGUGAAAAGGAUGCUACAGGCAGCAUAUGUGAAGCAAUAUACUUGAAGUAGGUUUGCUAAUUCUUGGUUAAGGUUAUGACGUUUACUCUAUAAAAGGGUAAAGCUAUGGAAUUCUAAGUUGCUAACACUUGUUUUGCCAUGAAAACUUAUAGAGUUUAGUUGUGAGUUGCUUGGUUUCUAAAGCUGAAAUUGUCAUGGAAAGUCUAGAAGUUAUGUUGUGUUAACAAUAUACAAGUAAACUUGGGUUAAAUGUAGAAGUUGUAGGAACAUGAAUACAAUAUGAGUUUGAUCUCUUAUAUUUCUAAAUGAAGGAAAAACUGACGCGUUGGGAAGCUUGAAUCAGCGUUCCGACGAGCCUACGGCAUGCUAGUGAGGAAAAACCUCAUUUUAGCUUCGGUUGUCGCGAGCGAGGGUCGUGGUCGUUCAUAAAUUGCGGAAAGUGAUUUUCUGGCAUCCUGGCAUUAGUUAAAGGUGGGUUGCAUGUGCUUCGUCGAAGUGAUUAGCUAUCACGCCCAGGGACCAAUCCCUUUGGCCGGUCCGGGCAUGUCGAACAGACGCCGAAUGGACAGAGCUUUCCCUGUCCGCCCAAGGCUCAACACAUGUACAAUUCAAGCAAAGAGAAUGCUCAAGCGGAAACAUACAAAAUGACUUACACGAGGGUAAGCAAUAGCCAAAGUGAAAGAAUUCUAAACUAUACAACCAUACAAGUAGAAUGAUUAACUUUUAACCAUUUACAAGCAUACAAUAUUUUUCUCCAUUACAUUUCUUUUCAUUAUUUUCUUUUACAUCACAUUUCUUCAAAAUAGAAUGCUUACAUUCAUUUCUUUAACAUCUCUAAUCAUCAAAUACAAAAGAUGAUGUAAAUGUAUACUACCAGCAAAAUAUGAAACCCAACUUGGCGGUCACUAUCUACGGCGCGAUGUCUUUACCGGGAUCGUCCGCUGGCUCACUCGGUCCCAGCUCUGUGGAAAUAGUGGAGUGAGAACUACAACGAAGUUCCCAGUCGGUUCGGCCCCAACCUCGCCGACUUUUCCACUAGGUCUAACUCAGGCAUAAUAGAAAGAAGUAGAUAGAUAAGUAACCAACUAUAACAUGCAACUAAUAUGCCUGAACAAAUGCGAUCAAUAAAGAUGCUCAACAAUAAUACUCAUGAUGAAAGCAUGGUCCUGGUUCAAUUCUCAAUCUCAAUCUCAUGGCUAACCCGGAGGUUUCGCCUCAAAGCAACUUACCACUCGAAAUCCCAAAUGUCGGGGAGAAACUCCUACGACCUGACGGGACCGUCCUCUGGGGAGAAACUACUAUGACCCAGUGAUGUCGAACUCCGGAGCACAUCGCUCGUGGGGGAGCUACCGCCCAUCGAGCAAGAGCUAAGGCGAGUAUGAUCCAAUCCUUAACUCAAAGGAUGUCAAGUUCAAUCCAUUCCUUAACUAUAAGGAAACCAUACACAAAUGACCCUUAACUAUAAGGUUAUAUGUCAUUAUGUCUCGAUCUCAUGUUCUUUGCCUUCUUUGUUUUCGAUCAUGCUAUUACACUAACUCUAGUGUUCUUUAUGCCACACUUGAUGCUAACUCUAGCAUUUAUUGUUCUUUGCCACACUUGACUAGGUGUAUAACUCUAGUACUCAAUAUCACAAUGCCACAUUAUCCUCUAUGUCAUAAUGCCACUUGUUCUUUAACUUUGCUAAGUUCUUGUCACCAUACAUGCACAUAUAGGGUUAUACAGUUCUUAUUGGUUCUCAACCAUAUCAAAUGCAUCUUAACUAUAAGCAUGCAACAUACACUCUCAUUUCACCCUAUUAUGCACGAAAAGCUAUAAACAUAAAUGCUCAAUAAGUGACACAUUAGACAUAAAGGAAAUUUCAAAGAGUUUGGAAAGCACCACCCACCUCGUAGGCUUGCUAAGGUGCUCGGAUUCGAAUUUCACGAUUUUUAGCCGCCUAUUUCCUUGCCUGCGGCAAAACGAAGCCAAAUUAGGCUUUUUCGCUCAUAACUUCACAUAGACUUUUCGUAUCAACAAACCGAGCGCACCAACGGGUCGUAAACACCCCCAAUUAGGUUUCUAUAAGGUCAAUUUGCCUUUAGAACCAUUCAAUGCAAAAGCCCCAAUUUGGGUGCCCUAGCAAUAGCAUAUAUACAAAACCCUUGUUUUGAUCUCUACCAUAGGCAAAAGAAAGCUUAUUAACACCUAGAGAUCCUACUAAAAUCAUUUCUAGGUCAUUUGGCUCUCAUUCUAGGGUUUUACCAUUAAAGGGUUCAAAGCUUACCUCAAAGCUUUCCUUGUUCUCGCACCUAGGAAGAAGAAGAAGGAGAAACUCCACCCUUUUGUCUUCUUCUCCACCAAAUCCACCUCUUGCUCCACCUCCAAGAGAGAGAGAGAGAGAGAGGAUAUCCUAGAGAGAGAGAGCUCUGAGUGUGUGAGAGGGAGAGAAAUGAGAGAAAAGAGCUCUCACACCCCUAUACAUAACCCACUUGAUGCAUAAUUGCAUUUGGGCCCCUCAACUUUGCAUCCUGUGCACUACUCAUCCUGGGCAGUUUUCGCAUACGGGGACCGGUCCUCCCCUGAGGAACCGACCUUCAGGGACCGGACCUCUCUCAAGGGACCGGUUCCCGAGAGCACUCCUUUCUGUCUACGCGCACGGGGACCGGUCUCUCCCGCCAGGGACCGGUCCCCGAGAGCUAGCCUUCCAAUACUUAGCCAUUUCACAAUUUUCACACCUACGGGGACCGGUCUGUCCCACCAGGGAUCGGUCCCCGAGAGCUAGGCUGCGCGCAGAGUAUUCUGCCCAGCCCAAUACGCGUACGGGGACCGGUCUCUCCCACCAGGGAUCGGUCCCCGAGAGCUCAAAAGCUGCAACUUGCAGAUUUUCUAUUCUCUAGCUCUCGAAGAUCCCCUAUAAUGCACUUUUGCUCUUUUUAACGCCUUCGGCCUUACCGAAGCGUACCAAUCUCGUAUUUGGUCAUUUGACUAAAGUUCGAUAUUUAUAUAUCGAAAUUUCGGUAUAUUACAUUAGCUCACUUCCAAGCCAAAGUAAAGUGUUAUUGUUAUUUAUGCAUAUAUAUAUAGUGGUAGGUUAUGAAUGAUAAUAUGAAUGCAUGAAUCAUAUUAUGCUAAGUGGAUAUUACCUACCAUUGGAAUAUGUAUGUUGAUAUAUUGUGGAUUAUGUUAGAUAAAUAUGCAUGUUGACAUAUUGUAGCAUAUGCUAGAUUUAUGUAAAUGUAAACUUGGGUCGAUAACUCUAGGUUGCUUAGAGAAUUCGACAUUGGAAAGCAAGAAUAUGUAAAUUACAAUCCUAGGUGUGAACAACUAGGAUGACGGGUAGAUUGAAAGUGUUAUUAAAUAUAGGUUGGACAUGAACCUAGUGUCAUUGAACAUAGAUGGAACAAGUGAACCUAGAAUCGAGAUCUAGGUGGAAAUGACAUAGAACCUAGCGUGGUUGAACCUAGGUUAUGAUAUGUACUGACACUUAGUGUGCUUGAACCUAAGUUGUGGAUUAUAGUGGUAGAGGGACCACUAGGAUGUAAAUGGUUUAGACCUAGAAAGGACGACAACAUAGGGUAAGUGCUAAAACCUUAAGCCUUGGAAGUGGAUUUCAGAAUCCCUAGGACAAGUGGCUGCAAGUGCAGUGGUCGAAUGCAAGCGAAUCAGAACUGCGGGUAUUUUGGUUCUCCUUGCCCGACAGUGAUUCAACCGGUAUGUUGAUUUUCCUCGCCUGGCAAGUGAAAUGGUAAAAGAGAAUCAUAACUGCGGGUAUGUUGGUUCUCCUCGCCCGACAGUGAUUCAACGAGUAUGUUGGUUCUCCUCGCCCGGUAUGCCAUAAGCUUGAGCUUGAGCUACUUGUGGUCCGGGGUUUGACGGUUUUCCUUACCCCGCGGUAGACCUAUAGUCGAGUGGAUUUAGGGCUGAGGUGCUUGUGAGACGUCCUUCACCUCAAGCCCGAUUUUAUACGGUAUUCCACGGAUGAUUAACUCGAGGCCGAGUCGGGUGGAUAGCUUGAUUAAGGUAGAUGAAACCUUAAGAGCAAGUGGUAAAUGGUAUGGAUCUAAGGUAGAAGGAACCUUAGAAGCUAGUGGAUAUAAGAAGUGGAUAGUGAGAUAGAAAGUAGAAUCAGGAGAUCUACUUAUGUAUUGUUGCAUAAUUUGCAUAUUGCAUGUCUUGAGGCAUACGCAUGUAUUUAAUAUUUGCAUAAAUUAUCUGUAGAUAUCUAUUGGACUAACAUAGUUGCAGUGCCUCCUUUAGACCUGGUGGGUCGAGUUUUUUCCUUGGGUCGCCGUACCCAUUGGGAACUAUGGACAUAGUUCCCACCCCACGUUAUUUUGGGGGAUUUCAAGUUCGCACGCAAGCGGCGCGGCAGUGCGAGGAAAGAGCGUAGCUCCGUAGAUAGCGCCCUACCACCGAGACCAGAGGUAGCAGUACCCUAAGUCGGCUUAGCUAGGGGUAUAGAAAAGAAUGGAACAAACUUGUAGUAAAUUUGUAGUAACUGAUUGUAUUUGGAAGUUGAAUGUAGAAUUUAAAGGUAAAGUGUAAAAUGCAUGUGAGCUGAAUGCUUGUAAUAGUUUAGCAUUUAUGUUUUUCUGAUAUCUUCCUUAUGCAAUCUGUGCUUAAAUACUGUUCCUGAUUGGAACCUCGUGUAUUGUAUGGAUUGUGACGCCUAGGACGUACAGGGGAGACUCUAUACGUUCGGUGGUCUAUUGGCGUGCCCGAAUCCGACUAAAUAGGUAGAGCUCGGGGGGUGACAUUAUAUUUUCUCAUUCUCUCAAAGGCAAGCUUUAAAUUUGACCAGUGAUCCACCUGUGAUUUGGAUUUUAUGACAAUGUCGUCGAUAUAAACUUUUAACAUCUUGCCGAUCAAAUCGUGAAAAAUAAAAUUCAUUGCUCUCUGGUAAGUAGCUUCGGCAUUCUUUAAGCCGAACGGCAUUACUACCCAUUCAAAGGUCCCGAUAGACCCUGGGCAUCUAAAAGCCGGUUUAGCUACAUCUUCCUCAGCAAUAUAAAUUUGGUUAUAACCGGCAUGUCCGUCCAUAAAAGAUUGUAUCUCAUGCCCAGCUGCCGAAUCUACCAACAUAUCGGCUAUUGGCAUUGGAUAUUCAUCUUUAGGCGUAGCUAAAUUCAAGUUUCUAAAAUCAAUGCAAACCCUAAAUUUAUCAUUCUUUUUUCAUACUAUAACUAUAUUGGACACCUAAUCAACAUAACAGGCCGCUCUAAUAAAACCGGCCUUUAACAAAUUUUCAAUUUCAUUCUUAAUUUGAAGUACAAUACUUGGCUCAAAUCUACGAGCCGGUUGUUUGUAAGGCUUAUAUCCUUUUUUAAUAGGAAGCCUAUGUUCUACUAUUUCUCGACUCAAACCUGGCAUUUCUUCAUAACUCCAGGCGAAGCGGUCCAUGUAUUCUGCUAGCAAUUCUUUCAGCUUUUCCUAUUGUUGAGCCGAAAGCUUAGCACUGAUGUAGGUCGGCCGCUUGUCCUCGUUGGAUCCCAAGUUUACCUCUAUUAAUGGAUCUUGGGUCUCUAGCUUCUUGUCGCCGACUUUGAUAGGUGAUUCAUCCAUAUUUAGUUCAGCUGUCCACCUCCUCAGUUCACCAGCUGCUUCCUUAUCGGCCUUAACGUCCGAUUUCAUUAACAAGUCAUUCUCGGCUGACUCGGCCGCCUUGAUAAGUGCAAUCUUAUCGGCCUGACUGGCCGAAUUACUCCUAUAGCCGUCUUCAUCGGUCGGUUCAUUCUAUCGAAGCUUCUCUAAAGCUUCGGUUCCUGAUCCUUGGUGUUCCAUUUUAACCAACUUGGUGGCUCUUCGGCUGCCACCAUAGCUUCCUUAUCUUUUAUGAGAAUUAAUUGUACUCCCCCUUCGGUUACUCAUACAAAAGAAAUCUAAUCGGGAUCAGUAUCGGCCCAAUUGAUAUGGCUGAUUCCUUCUGUAUUAAUGUCCACCAUUUGGGGCCGUCCCUCGGCCCGAAUUUCUUCCACUUUGUUUCCUACCCACUGGAAUAGCUUCCCAUGGAGUGUUAAGGGUACACACUCAUUUGCAUGGAUCCAGUCAUGCCCGAGUAGUAAAUUGUAGUGACUAUCUGCAUCCACUACAAAAAAUACUGUUCGUAAAGUUUUAGAUCCUACCGUGAUCUCGGUUGUGAGCACUCCCUUAACUUGUUGACCGCUACCAGUAAAGUCGGUCAUGAUCGUAUCGGUAGGCUUUAAUUCGUCUUCACUCUUGCCCAGUUUUUUGAAUAAAGAACUGGGCAAGACGUUUACCAUCGCUCCGCCAUCCACCAUCACUCAGCCUACUAGCCGUCCUUCUAUUAAGGCCCGUAUGAAUAGAGGCCUCACAAAUCUUAUUUGCAUGAUCGAUGGUUUUUUGAAAACCAUCAAAUCGACUGGUUUGGCAUCCUCCAACUGCAGUUGGGCUACUGUGAGCCCAUCUUCUUCAUACUCCAUUUCCUCGUACUCUGUAUACUCUGCUUUGAACGAUUGAGGAAGAGUGUAUACCAUGUUCACAUCGGCUGAACUUUCAUCAGCUGAUUUUUUUUGUAUCUUCUGUUUCUUCUCUUCGGACUCCUUUGCCGGAUCGGCUGAAGAGUCACUUUCCAUUCACGCCUCUCUUUCCUUUGGAGGCCAUCUGUCGCGCUUAAUUAUUAUCUCAAUAGAGGCUAUCUUCUCCUCUAACUCUUUUCGAGUUAACUUCUCCUCAGGUUUGGCCGGGAUUGGACGUUCUAUCUUCGAUUUUAACCAAGAAACGGGUGACGAACCGCCCACUUCAUGAUCAUUCCGCAUCGGUCGAAAGGGAUUUUAUGGUUCAUUAGGUCAUCUCCAUACGUUCAAUCUUAUCCCUUUUGCUUCUUCAUAAUGUUGUCUUGCUUCGGCUUGCAACCUUUGCUGCCGACGCUUCUGAGUUUUUGUUAACAUCGGCCCUUGCCAUUUGGCCGAUGGUUUUACUUCGUGACAUUGAUCAAUCGACACAUUUGCUGGUAUCUUUACUAUCCUGAGAUGAUUUCUCAAGAUCUCUCUUCUUUCCCAUGGUCUCGGCCAAGGUUGUAUGCCGAGUUCAUUGACUAAUCUCCAACCGAUGAAUUCUAUAUCCCCCUCGGUCAUCCCCUCAAAUUGCGGUUCAGGUCUCGGCCUGGCUUGAUGUUGCCAGUUUGGCCGAUAUCCUCGAAAUCUUUGUUUUGAGCCGAAUGGUUUCUCUGUAUAACUCCAUCGGCUGUUGCGUUCUUCUCUUCUACUGUUGUAGUAAUCAUUCAAGACUUUUUGCAUUAAUAAGUCUUUUUUGUUUUUCACCGAGUCAACUUCUGGCUCGGAUUCGUUGGAGGCUUCAUCCGAGCCAUCCUCUGACUUGUCUUCUGCCUCGGGAAUUUCCUCCUAUUCCUCCGGGAACGCCAUGAAUUCUCUCCAUUCAUUGUGCGUCCUUUUCUCAUGGAUGAUCGCUUCCCAAUCCUUUCUGGUCAUUUUGGCUUUGCACCUUAUGCAAAGCCGAAGCGUUCUCUUAGUAUAGGCAAUGCUUCCAUCAGUCUUCUUAUCCGCGAUUGCCUUUCCUUUGAUGUCCACCAUAUUGACCUGCGAUGGAAACGGAUUCUUGUCAAUCUCCAUACUUUUAUUUUCUUGGUUGGCAAAUAUGAGCCGACCUUCAUUUAUUUCUUUUUGUAUCUGCCUUUUAAAGGCAGUGCAUUCAUUUAUUCUAUGGCUCCAUGAAUGGUGCCAUUUUCAGUAUCUUCUCAUUUUCAAUUCCUCUCCAGGAGGUAUAGUUUGACCCUCCUGCAGCUGAAUUCACCGAUCUUUUAGCAACCGAUCGAAAAUUAAAUCGGUUUUAGAAGCAUCAAAUGAAUAAGUGUAUGCUGAUAUUCGUGCUUUUGCCUCGCUUGAUUUGGCAGGCUUUAACAGAGCACAUUUAUAUGGCUGACGAUUUUUCAUCAUCUCUGCCACAUAUUUUGGCUUCAUCAGCCGAAUCCUCUGUUUCUUCUGAUGUAUUCGACUCCUCUUGAGCCGAAGAUUCUUCAAGGAAAGAGAUAUUCUUCUCUUUUCCUUUACUCCAAUCUUUGUUUCGGCUCCAUUUGGGCCGAUCUUCAUUAUUUUCUUUUUGAAAUUGCUCAUACUGAGCAAUUCGAAUUCCCAAAUCAGAAAGAUUUGAAAAAUAUUUGUCUUCAAAAUGAUCUUUAAUUUUGAAUUGUAAGCCAUUAAAUGCCAUCUUGGCAAACUCUGAUUCCGGCAUUCUUACAAAACAACGGCUCCUUGCCGUCUUGAAUCGGUUCAAGUACUCUUCAACCGAUUCUUCUACUUUUUGCUUAAACUAAGCUACAUCAGCAACCGAAAGUUCUGGUUCUGAUCUAUAAAAUUAUUCAUGAAAUUUUCUUUCUGAUUAGUCCCAAUCUCGGACAGAAUUAGCUGGUAAACUCGUAUACCAAGUGAAAGCUGUCUUGGUUAACGAGGUAUUAAAUAAUCUAAGUUUUAAGAAUGGAUCUGCAGCAGCUUCUAGGCAUUGUGCCGUAAACCGCGCAACAUGUUCGACCGUAUUUUCGGUCUCAUCACCAGAAAAUUUAUCAAAUUUCGGCAUUUUCUAAUUUGCCGGAUAGGGAUGUCCUGUAUCUAUAUUUGCAGGAUAAGGAGAUCUAAACACAGGCCGCAUUGCCGGCCUUGCGCCAACUCUGAAAGUAUUUCGGAUGACUUCUUCAAUCUGAGUGUAUAUUUCAUUGUUGUUCCUCUGUAAAGGAACUAGUACCUAUGCUUGUACUGGAUUCGGUCCUAGUGGUAGUCCGAAGUUCUGCACAAUAAGGUUAACCCCUUGUAUAUUCGGAGCCUACCCCCCAGCCCUAGCCCCUACGUUUUGGGGCUGAUAUGCUGCUACUGGUGGAGGAGAUGGUAAUCCCCAGGCUAUUUCUGGUUAUUGACCGACGUUAACAAUAGCCGGCCUAUAGACCGCUUGGAAAGGUGCCCCCUGGUGUUGGGGUUGACCGCCUGCCGGUGUUACCGGAUUUUGUAACACCGGUGUAACUACAGGCCCUUGCAAACCUGUUACAGGUUGUUCAUUACGAGUCAAUAAUUGCCCUAUUCGGGCAAUAUUCUCAUUAGAGGCCAUGAUUGCGGCCAGUACUGCAUCUAAACGUGCAGUACUUCUAUGACUAUUUUGGUCCAGUACUUGUAGGACCCGUGUCAUUUGUCCAAGUACUUGAGCCAAACUAGACUCUUGUUGGUCAGAUUGACCACUAGUCUCACAUUCAACUAGCAAGACUGCUUGGCGUUCGCGAGCAUUAUCUGAAUUACUAGGUUGAACGCUCCCAGAAUUUCUAGGAACAACCCUAUUGCGCUAAUUAAUGGCAUUAUCAUUAGCCAUAAUUUCAAUAAGAAUGUAGAUUUACCUAAACUGAGGUCCCACCGUGUCACGCCCCGGGACCGGCGAAGGCCCUCCCGGUAGCGCGCCCAGACCCGCCAUAUGUCUACACAUAUAAGGCAUCUACAACAAAAGCGGAAGUAAAGCAAGAAGUAGAACAAUUAGCAUAGCGAUAGGUAAUGAUACCAGAGCGAGUAAAGUUCUAUCAUCUAAAUCAGAGUAAAAGAAACAUAACUAAACAAUAAAAGUCGCCAUAAGGUAGUACAGUACUAUCUCCUCAAAAAGAAAAACAAGAUCCAAAAGAAGGGUGGUCUCUAUACAUAAACGGGUACAACUCACAACCUCUCACAAAAUAAAACCACGAGAGGUAGACCACCUAUCAAAUCGUCCUCGAAGGAAGCUAGCUCGAAGCAACUCCCUUCCCGCGGUCCCUAGCCUCUCCCGGCGUGGAAGGCUCUGAAAGAAAACAUAAAACAGAGGGCAUGAGAACUAUAAUUUAUAGUUCCCAGUGGGCAAUUACUGACCUCAGCUCAUUGCACCACUAGGCCCAAAAGAGAAGGGUAAGUCAAAAGCAAUAACGAGUAAUUUGCAUCUAUGAAAGCAUAAUGAAAAUGCUAAAAUAUUACUUGCAAUUAAACAUGGCAUUCAUGUAAUGCACAAUGAUCUUGUCAUAAAGAAUAUGUCUCUACUUAGCCAUAAAUAAUAUCAUGGUUUGCUUAAAUGAAAUUAUGAGGAUUAUCCCUUAUCAUAGCAACAUUGUUUAUAUGAAUGCAAUUAAACACUGCCUCCUAGCAUACUACAUAUAUGUAUGUAUACCCAAAGUCCAAACCUAUGCUAGAAGCAAGUCCGAGUAAUCCAACUACCACUCUCUAUUUAGUAGUGAUUAUAACAAACUCAUCCCGUGUCGAUUUCCAUUUCCAAUUAGGGACCUACCAAGGGUAGUCCAGCUUGCGCCGCCUAAGUGCCUGUGGUAGCCCAACAUCCCUACUCUUGGAAUGUGUCUGUCCCACUCGACCCGUAGAUUCCACUACCGCACGAGCGACAUAAGUCGCGUAUGGCUAAUCCGGAGUCCGCUUGUAGGACGACCCUCACAAGCAUUUGGCGAUGAGCACAAAUGGCAAACAAGCAGGUCACUGUCUCAAAUCUCUAUCACAUGCUCUACAUGGGAGUGCACAGGACAUCCACAAGGCAUCUAGCCAUGUCUCUAAGUGAGUGUCCCAACGCUCACUGCUUAGUGCUCUUUAUGACACUUAAGUCAUCACAACAGAACUCGAGGCCAAAUCUAUUCUAUGUUUCAAUUUAAACAUUAAUACCCAAUGUUACCAUGACCGGUGGCCCAAGCCUCCUAAUGCCAUGUCGCCAAUUCUAAAUAUCUAACGUCUCCAUCCUCUCUCUAGCUUUAACCUUCAAUGUCACAAUUGGCCUAUAGGUUAAAAAAAAUGCAUGAAAACAACAGAUCAUUCCAUCAGAAAAAUCAUGUGUCCCAAUCAUAACGAUAGAAUGCUAAGUCUCACCAUGCAUGCACUCUACCAAUAGGGGUCUAAAAUUUCACUUUACAAUAUAUGACAUGUUAAGCAUUCCAAAAUUCAUAUUAAAUACAUUAACAUGAAAUCAUUGGAAUUUCUACUUUACGGAAACAUUUUGCCAAAUAUGAGCAUUUCUCAUAUCAUAGUUAGGUCAAAAACCCACCGGAGAAACCGUCGCGUGCUUCCUUCGAUUCGCCGAAUGGAGUUGUCCACGAGGCCUCAAAGAUACCUAAAAGUGAUCAGCGAAAGAAGAUACACAAGCAUUACGAGCAACGUCUAGGCUCGAACACAUAACAAUCACAAGAAUAUGGCAAAAAACUCCACUUAGGGAGUAGAAAUUUCUCACUCAAGCUCCAAAAGAAGCUAGAUCCUUCCAAUCUAACCCAAAGGAGGGUUUCUAAUCCAAAAAAUCUAGCCUCAAAAGCCUAGAUCAAAAAGCCCCAAAAUUCAACUAAAUCUCAUUUCUAGGGUUUCAUCUCCCAAAAAAUCACCAAAACAGGAAUCUAUUUAGGAAAACUCUUACUAACCCUUUGGAAGCUUCAAUCCAACUCAAAAAUGCCUAGGUCGAAGUUGCACCACUAAACUCCAAAGGCAAGCUCCAUCCAACCAAAAGGGAGAAGAAAGGUGAGAUGAAAAGCUCCAAGUCCUCUACAAGCUCUUCUUCUCCUUCUUCCUUCUUCCACUCUCUCUUCUACUCUUAGAAGCAAAAGAAAUGGUGAAGUGAGGAAGGGAAGAAGGGGAGAUGUGGCCAUAUAAGCCUUCUCUUGUAACAAAAUCAUGUGAGCCCUCAAAAAUUCAAUAUUGCAUUAGCCGGUCUGGCAUUUUUCGCCCAGAGGACCGGCUUCCCCAGCAGACCGGUCUCUCGCUUCGAACCUGAGAACAACGUUCGGGAACCGUCUCUCCCUCGUGGGACGGUCUCUCUCUGCGGGAAGCGCGCUCGGGACGGUCUCGCCGCCAGGAAACCGUUGCCUCAGCUGCCGCAACACUGCUCAUCGUGGGGGACCGGUCUCUCCUUCCAGGGACCGGUUCCCGAGAGUAAAAACUCUCAGGACUUAUCCAGGAAUUCCAGUUUUUCGAACUUUUAGGCGAAAAACAUUCUACACCUCACCAAGUGUGGAAAAGCUCGAAAUACAUCAAACACUCGAACCUCGCAAUUUGCAAAGGUCCAGUUGCUACAUUCACCCCUGCCUAAAAGGUAGUUCGUCCGCGAACUCGAAAUACAAAACCUCAAGCCUCCAUCUGAAAAGAUGGGAUAGCGCUCCCGCAGCGCGCUUUCCAGCUCCCAAGUGGCCUCGCGCUCGUCGUGGUUGCUCCAAAGCACCUUCAAGUAAGGAAUUUCUCGGUUCCGCAAUCUUUUCACCUCGCGAGCCAAAAUCCUCAAGGGUUGCUCUUCAAAGCUCAAAUCAUCCCUCAGCUCCAUAGGCGUAGCAUCCAACACGUGAGCCGGGUCGUGGAUGUACUUCCGAAGGACCGAUACAUGAAACACAUUGUGUACACCCAAUAGGUUUGGCGGUAGAGCGAGUCGAUACGCUACCGGGCCUACACGCUCCAAAACCUCAAACAGUCCAAUGAAUCGGGGGCUCAACUUACCCCGGAUUCCAAAUCGUCUAAUCCCUCGAGUCGGCGAGACCUUCAAAAAGACAUGAUCUCCAAUCUGAAAUUCCAAGUCUCGUCGACGCCGAUCAGCAUAACUUUUCUGCCUACUCUGGGCCGUCAAUAGUCGCUCUCGAGCAAUGCGAACCUUGUCCUCUGCUUCCUGGAGCACAUCAGGGCCUAAAGCCAAUCUCUCGCCAACUUCACCCCAAUGGAGUGGCGAUCUACAUUUCCGUCCAUAGAGUGCCUCGAACGGUGCCAUCUUGAUGCUUGCUUGAUAACUGUUGUUAUAAGCAAACUCUGCCAUCGGUAGAUGCUGCGUCCAUCCUCCUUGGAAGUCAAUCACGCAAGCUCGAAGCAUGUCCUCGAGAAUCUGUAUAGUACGCUCCGACUGCCCGUCACUCUGGGGGUGGAAAGUAGUGCUGAAAUCCAAGCGCGUACCCAAAGCAUCCUGUAAGCUCUUCCAAAAGUGAGAUACAAAACGGGGGUCUCGAUCUAAAACGAUAGAAGUAGGUACCCCGUGCAAUCGCACAAUCUCGUCCAAAUAAACCUGUGCGAGUCUCUCACCAGUCCAAAUAGUGUGGAUAGGUAUGAAAUGUGCCGAUUUCGUCAAUCUAUCCACGAUCACCCAAAUAGCAUCAUGCCCGGCCUGUGAGUGAGGCAAUCCCAUCACGAAGUCAAUAGUGAUCUUUUCCCACUUCCACACUGGAAUCGGUAGGCUCUGCAGCUUUCCCGCAGGAACUCGGUGCUCAGCCUUCACCCGUUGGCAGGUUAAACAUCUAGCAACGAACUCACCAACAUCCUUUUUCAUCCCGGGCCACCAAUAAAGUAACUUCAAGUCCUUAUACAUCUUGGUGCCUCCCGGAUGUACAGCAUACGGUGCUCGGUGUGCUUCUUGAAGAAUAUCCUCUUUAAUGCCCAAAUCCGCCGGUACACAAAGUCGUCCGCGGAAACGCAUCAAUCCAUCACCGUCUAGAGUGAAGUCACCGGUGCAACCAUCAACCAUCUUAGCUCGAAUCUUUUGCAACUCCGAGUCGGAAGCUUGCUUUUCUUUAAUCCUUUCCAAAAGUGUAGGUUGCACCACUAAAGUCAUCAGUCUCAAAGGUGUAUCAGGAGCCACCACCUCCAACUCCAACCGCUUCAUCUGCUCGAUCAACGGCGGUUGAGUAACCACAAGCAUCGCUAAGUUCUCAGUCGAUUUCCUACUUAGCGCAUCCGCCACCACGUUAGCCUUGCCCGGGUGGUAAAGUAUCGUCAAAUCAUAAUCCUUGAAUAGCUCCAACCAUCUGCGCUGCCUCAAGUUCAACUCCUUCUGAGUGAAUAGAUACUUUAAGCUUUUGUGAUCCGUAUAUACUUCGCAUCGCUCGGCAUAGAGGUAAUGGCGCCAUAGCUUCAAUGCAAAGAUCACGGCAGCCAACUCCAAGUCAUGGGUAGGAUAGUUCCUCUCAUAAUCCUUCAACUGGCAAGAUGCAUAAGCGAUCACUUUCCCGUCCUGCAUCAAAACACAACCCAAUCCAUUAAAGGAAGCAUCACUAUAAAUCACAUACCCUGCUCCAGCAGUCGGCAAGGUAAGGAUCGGGGCAGUCGUCAAUCGCUGCUUCAACUCUUGGAAGCUCCUUUCACACGCAUCAUUCCAAAUAAACUUGGUGCCCUUAUGCGUGAGUCUCGUGAGGGGAGUAGAUAACUUUGCAAAUCCCUCAACGAACCGUCGAUAGUAGCCGGCCAAACCAAGAAAGCUCCGAAUCUCCGUGACACUCGUCGGCCUUGGCCAAUCCUUGAUAGCCUCAAUUUUUCUCGGGUCCACGGCGAUGCCUGAUCCUGAAAUCACAUAGCCCAAAAACGCCACCUCUCUAAGCCAAAAUUCACACUUUUUCAACUUGGCAUAGAGCUUCUCUUCCCGAAGCACUUGAAGUACAAGUCUCAAGUGUUCCUCGUGAUCCGCGUCCGGGAAUACACUAAGAUGUCGUCGAUGAACACCACGACAAACCGGUCUAUGUAAGGCUUGAAAACACGGUUCAUUAAAUCCAUAAAAACUGCUGGGGCAUUAGUAAGCCCAAACGGCAUAACGGUAAACUCAUAAUAUCCAUACCGUGUUUUAAAAGCCGUCUUCGACACAUCCUCAGGCUUGAUCUUCAACUGGUGAUAUCCCGACUGCAAGUCGAUCUUGGAAUAUACACAAGAUCCCUGGAGCUGAUCAAAUAGAUCAUCAAUUCUCGGUAAUGGAUAUUUGUUCUUAAUCGUGACUCUGUUAAGUUCACGAUAGUCCACGCACAAGCGAAGUGAUCCAUCCUUCUUCUUAACAAACAAGACCGGUGCUCCCCAAGGUGACACACUCGGUCGCACAAAACCCUUAUCCAGAAGAUCCUGCAACUAUGCCUUCAGUUCCUUCAACUCUGCCGGUGCCAUCCUAUAGGGUGCCUUUGAGAUCGGGGUAGUCCCGGGGACGAGAUCUACCACAAACUCAAUCUCCCUAUCAGGGGGCAUGCCUGGAAGCUCCGCUGGAAACACAUCUCCAAACUCCCGCACUAUGGGGAUAUCCUCAAUCCUAGGGGCGUCAUCCACACCCCGCAACACAACAGUAGCCAAGUAGGCUACGCAACCUCUACUAAUCAACUGCCUAGCUCGAGAGGAGCUAAUCGUCAUCGCAAACAGCGAACUCUGGCAUCCUCGAUACACAACCUCCGCCUACCCCGGCUCUCUAAAUGUCACCGUUCGAUUCUUACAAUCGAUGGUGGCAAAGUACUUGGUCAGCCAAUCCAUGCCCAACACAACGUCAAACUCCCCGAGUUUAUGCAAAGCUAGCAAGUCCACGGGCAUGAUCCAAUCUCCAAUCCUAACAGGGCAACUGGGGCAAAACUCCCGAAUGUCUAAAGAGUGAUCGGGUACAACAACUCGUCCAGGAUGUAACAAGGAUACAAGUGGGAUGCCAUGCAACUCGGCAAACAGCCGGUCUAUGAAUGAAUGCAAUGCACCGGUAUCAAAUAAAGCUCUAACUCGAAUACCAUGAAGUAAAAUGAUACCUGCGACCACAUUCUCGGCUGGCGUCGCCUCCUCAGUCUGGGCUGCGUACAUACGCCCGCUCGGGGCCUGUCGUGACCCCUCCGUCUGCCGCUGGACAGGUGGCCGACCGGCCUGGUGAUGCGCAGAAGAUGUCCCCUGGCUGGGACCUGGCGAAGCUGGUGCAGAUGUCGAAGAUGGCGCUGGCAAUGGACUCCUCGGGCAGUCCGACUGGAAGUGGCCCUUCUGGCCACACAAGAUGCACCUGCCCCGGCUGCGUGAACACUGCCGCGGAUAAUGAGGACCGCCAUAAAUCAUGCAGCGGGGAGCCUGACGACGAUCGGGUCCUCCUCGCUGAGUAGACUGGCCACGUCCUCGUGACUGGCUCCGGCUCCUGGGGUGUCUCGGCGGCCUCCGUGAGUGCGUCUGGCUCGCACCCUCAGCCGCGGGCCUCUUUCCCUUGCCCUUGUCUAGGGCCUCGCGUCGCUCCUGAAGAUCUGCCGCUCCUGCCUCCACAAUCAAGGCUCGAUCCACAACCUCCCGGUAGGUCUGGAGGUUGGAAGACUGCACCAACCGGAAGAUAGAAGGCCGCAAACCGCGCUCAAAGAUGCGGGCCUUGUCCUCGUCGUCCCUCACAACAAACGGUACACAGUGUAGUAUCCGGGAGAACUCCCUUUCGUACUCAGCCACUGGCCGCUCAUCCUGACGCAAGCUGCGCAAGUCCUGCUCCAUCUUUCUCUUGACGCUGGUAGGAAAGUGGUGCGCCAGUAGAAGUUCCUUGAAUCGUGUCCAAGUAAUCGCCGCCAAGUCGGUGUUGGGGUUGUCCUGGAUAUCCAACCACCAACGGUAGGCCUCGCCGUCCAGAAAGUGAGUGGCGAGCCAAACUCUGUCCCGCUCCUCCACAAAGGUGUCUCGAAACAGCUUCUCCAUGUGCAGCAACCACUUCUCAACAAUCCAGUGGUCGACGUUCUCGCCAUCAAACGUCCUCGGGCUGCACCUCCUGAACUCGCUGAGGCGCUCCAUAAGCCGAUCCCGCUCGGCUCCCUCGGCCAUCACGGGGAAUGCUGCCCCUGUCACCGGUCUCUGAACAGGUAGUGCCGCAGCCACCUCCUCCCGAGGUGCGGUCGCCGGUGCCGCACGUGAAGAACUGGGCGCGGGGGACUGCGCCCUCGGUGCGACGUCCACCACGGGUGCUGGCGGUGUGGGACCCUGGGUCUCCCUCGAAGCUGCCGCCUGCUGAAGUAGGAGGUCCUCAAGAUGCUUCAUCCGCGCCUCCUGCCGCUGAGCCACCUCAGCCUGUCGCUGCGCCGCUGCCGUCUGCUGCGCCAACAGAUCAGUGAGAACCGCAAGCUGGGCCCUCAAGUCACGGACCUCACUAGAUCCGGAAGUAGCGGAGGUCUCGACCUCCUCGGGGUGUGCCGCAUCAUCCGCCCCGGCAGACUGGGAGCGUGUAAUCGGCAUCGUCACUACAAAACAUAAAAGCGCAAGUUAGUAACCCACGCUAUCGCAUCCCCGCUCAAAUAGAUAAAACCCCAAAUCAUGCGAAAGUAAGGAAGUGUCCUUCACUACUAACUCCCGAUGUUACGUUGUCGGCCGCCAACGUAACCCUCCGCGGAGUUAGAAGCCAUACACUCCGAUCAAACUCUAACUUUUUAGAGUUGUCAUAAACCCAAUCAAAAUACUUUCGCUCACAAGUCAAUUAGACCUCGUCUCUCACGAGCCUAAUUCCUAUAGUCCAACCGGCCUAAGGUUCGCUAGGUCCACUAAGACUCAACCCUAGGCUCUGAUACCAAAUUAAUCUGUCACGCCCCGGGACCGGCGGAGGCCCUCCCGGUAGCGUGCCCAGACCCGCCAUAUGUCUACACAUAUAAGGCGUCUACAAUAAAGCGGAAGUAAAAGCAAGAAAUAGAACAAAUAGAACAGUAACAACUAAUGAUAUCAGAGCGAGCAAAGUUCUAUCAUAUAAACCAGAGUAAAGGAAAUAUACCAAGACGAAGAAAGUAAAACAUAAGGUGAUACAAAACUAACUCCUCAAAAGAAAUACCAAGAUCCAAAAGAAAGGUGGUCUCUAUACAUAUACGGGUACAACUCUCAACCUCUCACAAAAUAAAACAUCGAGAGGUAGACCACCUAAACUCGUCUCUCGCUGAAGGGCUAACUCGAAGCGACGCCCUUCCCACGGUCCCUAGCCUCUCCCGGCGUGGAAGGCUCUGAAAGAAAACAUAAAACAGAGGGCGUGAGAACUAUAAUUUAUAGUUCCCAGUGGGCAAUUACUGACCUCAGCUCAUUGCACCACUAGGUCCAAAAGAGAAGGGUAAGUCAAAAGCAAUAACGAGUAAUUUGCAUCUAUGAAAGCAUAAUGAAAAUGCUAAAAUAUUACUUGCAAUUAAACAUGGCAUUCAUGUAAUGCACAAUGAUCUUGUCAUGAAGAAUAUGUCUCUACUUAGCCAUAAAUAAUAUCAUGGUUUGCUUAAAUGAAAUUAUGAGGAUUAUCCCUUAUCAUAGCAACAUUGUUUAUAUGAAUGCAAUUAAACACUGCCUCCUAGCAUACUACAUGUAUGUAUGUAUACCCAAAGUCCAAACCUAUGCUAGAAGCAAGUCCGAGUAAUCCAACUACCACUCUCUAUUUAGUAGUGAUUAUAACAAACUGAUCCCAUGUCGCGUAGGCUAACUCCGGAGUGCCGGCUUGUAGGGAGCGACCCUCACAAGCAUGUGCGAAUGAGCACAAAUGGCAAACAAGCAAGGUCACUGUCUCAAAUACUCUAUCCACAUGUCUCUAACAUGGCGAGGUCACUAGCAUCCCAAUGAUCUAGCCCAAUGUCUCUAAGUGAUGUCCCAACGCUCACUUGGUUAGUGCCUCUUUAUGACACUUAAGCAUCACAACAGAUCGAGCCCAAAUCUUAUUCUAUGUUUCAAUUAAAACAUUAAUACCAAUGAUUACCAUAACCCGGGCCCAAUGCCUCUUUAUGACAUUGUCCCAAUUCUCAAAUAGUCUAAGUUCUCCAGCCCUCUCUAGGCUUCUAACAUUCCUAAUGUCACAAUUGACCUAUAGGUUAAAUGCAUGAAAGCAAGAUUCAUUUCCAUCAGAGGAAUCAUGGUUCCCAAUCAUAACUAGAAUGCUAAGUCUCACAUGCAUGCACUCUACCACAUAGGGGUCUAAAAUUUCACUAUAUAUAAUAUAUGCAUGUUAAGCAUUCCAAAAUUCAUAUUAAAUACAUUUAACAUGGAAAUGCAUGAAUUUCUACUUUACGAAACAUAUUUUGCCAAAUAUGAGCAUUUCUCAUAUCAUAGGCUAGAUCAAACCCACCGAACCGUCGCGUGCUCCUUCGAUUCGCCGAACGGAGUUGUCCACGAGCCUCAAGAUACCCUAAAAGUGAUCAGCGAAGAGAUACACAAGCAUUACGAGCAACUCUAGGCUCGAACAAUAACAAUCACAAGAAUAGGGCAAAAACUCACCUAGGGAGUAGAAAUUCUCACUCAAGCUCCAAAAGAAGGCUAGGAUCCUUCCAAUCUAACCCAAAGGAGGGUUCUAAUCCAAAAAAUCUAGCCUCAAAAGCCCUAGAUCAAAAAGCCCCAAAAUCAACCCUAAAUCUCAUUUCUAGGGUUUCAUCUCCCAAAAAUCACCAAAACAGGAAUCUAUAGGAAGAAACAUCUUACUAACCCUUUGGAAGCUUCAAUCCAAGCUCAAAAUGCCCUAGGGUCGAAGUUUGGUCCACCACUAAACUCCAAAGGCAAGCUCCAAUCCACCAAAAGGGAGAAGAAAGGGUGGAGAUGAAGCUCCAAGUCCUCUACAAGCUCUUCUUCUCCUUCCUUCUCCUUCCUCUCCCACUCUCUCUCUCUCUAGAAGCAAAAGAAAUGGUGAAGUGAGGAAGGGAAGAAGGAGAUGUGGCCAUAUAAGCCUUCUCUUGUAACAAAAUCAUGUGAGGCCCCUCAAAAAUUCAAUAUUGCAUUAGCCCGGUCUGGGCAUUUUUCGCCCAGAGGGACCGGUCUCUCCCCAGCAGGGACCGGUCUCUCGCUGCGAACCUGGAGAACCAACGUUCGGGAACCGGUCUCUCCCUGCGUGGGACCGGUCUCUCUCUGCGAAGGCGCGCUCGGGGACCGGUCUCGCCCGCCAGGGACCGGUUGCCUCAGGGCUGCCGCAACACUGCUCACUGGGGGACCGGUCUCUCCUUCCAGGGACCGGUUCCCGAGAGUAAAAACUCUCAGGACUUAUCCAGAAUUCCAGUUUUCGAACUUUUUAGGUCGAAAAACAUUCUACAACCCUCCACCAAGUGUGGAAAAGCUCGAAAUACAUCCAAACACUCGAACCUCGCAAUUUGCAAAGGUCCAGUGUGCUACAUUCACCCCUCCUAAAAGGGAGUUUCGUCCGCGAAACUCGAAAUGACAAAUACCUCAAGCCUCCAUCUGAAAAAGAUGGGGAUAGCGCUCCCGCAGCGCGCUUUCCAGCUCCCAAGUGGCCUCGCGCUCGUCGUGGUUGCUCCAAAGCACCUUCAAGUAAGGAAUUUCUCGGUUCCGCAAUCUUUUCACCUCGCGAGCCAAAAUCCUCAAGGGUUGCUCUUCAAAGCUCAAAUCAUCCCUCAGCUCCAUAGGCGUAGCAUCCAACACGUGAGCCGGGUCGUGGAUGUACUUCCGAAGGACCGAUACAUGAAACACAUUGUGUACACCCAAUAGGUUUGGCGGUAGAGCGAGUCGAUACGCUACCGGGCCUACCUGGCUCCAAAACACCUCAAACGAGUCCAAUUGGAUCGCGGGCUAACUUACCCCGAUUUCCAAAGGUCCUAAAUCCGUCGAGCGGCGAGACCUUCAAAAAGACAUGAUCUCCAAUCUGAAAUCCAAGUCUCGUCGAGCCGAUCAGCAUAACUUUUCGCCUACUCUGGCCGUGCAAUAGUCGCUCUCGAGCAAUGCGACUUCGUCUCUGCUUCCUUGGAGUCAACAUCAGGGCCUAAGCCAAUCGUCGCGCCAAACUUCACGCCAAUGGAGUGGGCGAUCUACAUUUCCGUCCACUAGGUGUCCCUCGAACGUGCCAUCUUGAUGCUUGCUUGAUAACGUUGUUAUAAGCAAACUCUGCCAUUCGGUGAGAUGCUGCCGUCCAUCCUCCUUGAAGUCAAUCACGCAAGUCGAAGCAUGUCUCGAGAAUCUGUAUAGUACGCUCGACUGCCCGUCACUCUGGGGUGGAAGUGAGUGCUUGAAUCCAAGCGCUACCCAAAGCAUCCUGUAAGCUUUCCAAAGUGAGAUUACAAGAACGGAGGUCUCGAUCUAAAACGUAUAGAAGUAGGUACCCCGUGCAAUCGCACAAUCUUGCUCCAAAUAAAACCUGUGCGAGUCUCUCACGACGUCCAAAAUAGUGUGGAUAGGUCAUGAAAUGUCCGAUUUCGUCAAAUCUAUCACGAUCACCCAAAUAGCAUCUGCCGGCCUGUUGCAGUGAGGCAAUCCCAAUCACGAAAUCAGAUAGUGAUCUCUUCCCACUUCCACACUUGAAGUCGGUAGGGCUUGCCAGCUUUCCCGCAGGAACCGGUGUCAGCCUUUCACCCGUGGAAGGGAUUAAACAGUCUAGCAGACGAACUCAACCAACAUCCUUAUUUUAUCCCGGGCCACAAUAAAGUAACUUCAAGUCCUGUAUACAUCUUGGUGCCUCCCGGUGUACAGGCUACGUGUGCUCGGUGUUGCUUCUGAAGGAAUAUUCUGCUUUAAUGCCCAAAUCCGCGCUACACAAAGUCGUCCGUCCGCGGAAACGCAUCAAUCCAUCACCGUCUAGCAGUGAAAGUUCACCGGUGCAACAUCAAACCAUUCUUAGCUUCGAAUCUUUUUGCAACUCCGAGUCGGAAGCUUGCUUAUCUUUAAUCCUUUCAAAAGUGUGGUUGCACCCUAAGUAAUCAGUCUCAAAGGUGAUUAUCAGGAGCCACCACCUCAACUCAACCGCUUUCAUCUGCUCGAUCAGCGGCUGGUUGUAAGUUUAACCACAACGCAUCGGCUAAGUCUCAGGCGAUUCCUACUUAGCGCAUCCGCCACCACGUUAGCCUUGCCGGGUGUUAAAGUAUCGUCAAAUCAAUAAUCCAUUGAUAUAGCUCCAACCAUCUGCUGCCGCUGCCUUCAAGUUCAACUCCUUCUGGUGAAUAGAUUACUUUAAGCUUUUUGUGAUCCGUAUAUACUUCGCACUCGGCCGCAUGAGGUAAUGGCCGCCAUAGCCUUUAAUGCAAAAAGAUCACGGCAGCAAUCCAAGUCAUGUUAGGAUAGUUCCGUCUCGUAAUCCUUCAAACGUGGCAAGAUGCAUAAGAAACAAUAAAACGAUCACUUUCUCCCGUUCCUGCAUCAAAACACAAUUCCAAUCCAUUAAACGGAAGCAUCACUAUUAAAUCCACAUAACCCUGCUCCUUAGGCAGUCGCUAAGUAAGGAUCGGGUGACAGUCCGUCAUAUCGCUGUUCAACUCUUGGAGCUCCUCUAUCACACGCAUGGUCAUUCAAAUAAUACUUGGUGCCCUUAUGCGUGAGUUCGUGAGGGGAGUAGAUAACUUUGAAUCCCUUCACGAACCUGUCGAUAGUGCCGGCCAAACCAAGAAAGCUGCCGAAUCUCACGUGACACUCGUCGGCCUUGGCCAAUCUUGAUAGCCGUCAAAUUUUCUCGGGGGUCACGCCGAUUCCUGAUCUGAAAUCACAUAGCCCAAAAACGCCACCUCUCUUAAGCCAAAAUUACACUUUUUCACCUUGGCAUAGAGCUUCUCUUCCGAAGCACGUGAAGACAAGUCUCAAGUGUCUCGUGAAAUCCGCGUCUCGGAAAUACACAUAAGAUGUCUAGUCGAUGAAACCACGACAGCGGUCAUAUGUAAGGCUUGAAAAACACGGUUUCAUUAAAUCCAUUAACAAACCUUGCCUGGAGGCAUGAGUAAGCCCAAACGGAACUAACGUAAACUAUAAUAUCCAUACCGAUUGUUUUAAGAAGCGUCUUCGACACAUACCUCAGGCUUUGAUCUAAUUCAACUGGUGUAUCCAGACUGCAAGUCGAUUUGGAAUAUACACAAGCAUCCCUGGAGCUUGAUCAAAUUAGCAUCAUCACAUUCUCCUGGUAAUGGAUAUUUGUUCUUAAUCGUGACUCCUGGUCUAAGUUCACGGAUAGUCACGCACAAGCGAAGUGGAUUCCAUCCCUUCUUCUUAACAAACAAGGACCGCGUGCUCCCCAAGGUCACACUUCGGUCGCACAAAACCCUAUCCAGAAGAUCCUGCAACUAUGCCUUUCAGUCUCCUCAACUCUGCGGUGCCAUCCUAUUAGGUGCCUUGAGAUCGGGGUAGGUCCGGGGACGAGAUCGCUACCACAAACUCAAUCUCCUAUCAGGGGGCAUGCCUCUGGAGCUCCGCUGAAACACAUCUCCAAACCCCGCACUGAUUGGGAUAUAUCCUCAAUCCUAGGGGCGUCAUCACACCCGAACACAACAGUAGCCAAGUUAGGGCUACGCAACCGUCUACUAAUAACCUGUGCCCUAGCUCGAGAGAGGCUAAUCGUCAUCGCAAACAGCGAACUCUGCAUCCCUCGAUACACAACCUCCGCCUACCCGGCUCUUAAAUGUCCCGUCUCGAAUUCUUACAAUCGAUGGUGCAAGUACUUGGUCAGCCAAUCCUGCCAACACAACGUCAAACUCCCCGGAGUUUAUGCAAAGCUGAGCAAGUCCCGAACGGGCAUUGAUCAUCUCCAUCCUAAUCAGGGCAACUUGGUGCAAAAACUCCGAAUGUCUAAAGAUGAUCGGGUGUACAAACAAACUCGUCACAGGAUGUAACAAGGAUACAAGUGGAGAUGCCAUGCACUCGGCAAACAGCGGUUCUAAUGACUGAAUGCAAUGCACCGGUAUCAAAUAAAGCUCUAACUCGAAUACCAUUAAGUAAAUGAUACCUGCCGACCCACAUUCUGGCUGGCGUUCGCCUCCUGAGUCUGGCGCUGCGUACAUACGCCGCUCGGGGCCCUGUCGGUGACCGCUCCCUCUGCCGCUGGACAGGUUGCGGCGACGGCCCUGGUGGAUGCGCCAGAAGAUGUCCCCUUGGCUGGCGACCUGGCCGAAGCUGGUGCAAUGUCGAGAUGGCGCUGGCAAUGGAUUCUCGGGCAGUCCGACUGGAAGUGCCCUUCUAGCGCCACACAGAUGCACUGCCCUCGGCUGCCGUGAACACAUUGCGCCGAGAUAAUGAGGACCGCCAUAAAUCAUGCCCAGCGGGGGCCUGACGACUGAUCCGGGGUCCUCCUCGCUGAGGUAGACUGGCACGUCCUCGUGACUGGCUCCGGUCCUGGGGCUGUCUCGUGCGGCCUCCGUGCGUGCGUGCUGGCUCAGCACCCUCAGCGCGGGCCUCUUUCCCUUUUGCCCCUUGUCUAGGGCCUCGCGUCGCUCCUGGAAGAUCUGCGGCGCUCCUGCCUCCACAAUCAAGGCUCGAUCCACAAACUCCCGUAGGUCUGGAGGUUGGAAGACAUGCACCAACCGAAGAUAAAGGCCGCAAACCGCGCUCAAAGAUGCGGGGCCUUGUCCUCGUCGUUCCCUCACACAACCGGUACACAGAUGUCGUAUCCGGGGGAACUCCUUUCGUACUCAGCCACUGGCCGCUCAUCCUGAAAAACGACCAAAGCUGCGCAAGUCGACUGCUCCAAUCAUUUCUCUUUGACCGACUGUAGGAAAGUGCGUGCGCAGUUAGAAGUUCUUGAAUCGUGUCCAAGGUAAUCGCCGCCAAUCGGUGUUGGGGUUGUCAUGGAUAUCAACCACCAAACAUAGCCUCGCCGUACAGAAAUCGAGUGCGAGCCGAAACUCUUAUCCCUCUCCUUGACGAAGGAUCUCGAAAGCUUCUCAUGUGCCAGCAAGCCAACUUCUCGACCAAUCCAGUGGCGACGUUUUUCGCCUAUCCAAACGUUCUCGGGCUGCACUCCGAACUCACUGGAGGCGAUCUUAUUGCAGCCGAUCCGCUCGGCUUCCCUCGGCCAUCACGGGAAAAUGCCGCCCCGUCACUGGUCUCUUGAAUAGUAGUGAUAGCAGCACCUCCUUCCCGAGGUGCGGUCGCGGGCGCACGUGUGAAGAACUGGGCGCGGGGACUGCGCCCUCGAGUGUCACGAGUCCCACCAUGGGUGCUGGCGGUAUGUAGGGCCUGAUCAUCCUGCGAAGCUGCCGCCUUCUGCAGUAGGAGGUCCUCAAGAUGCUCGAUCCGCGCUCCUGCCUGCAGCUACUCAGGCCCUGUCGCGUGCGCCGUACUGUUGCUGCGCCAACAGAUCAGUGAGAACCGCAAACUGGGGGCCUUUUUCCAAAAAAAGUCACGGGACCUACACUAGGAUCCGGAGUGAGCGGAGGUCUCGACCUCCUCGGGUUGUGCCGCAUCAUGCCGCCCCAGCAGACUGGGAGCGUGUUCAACCGGCAUCGUCCUACAAAACCAUAAAAGCGCAAGUUAAUAACCCACGCUAUCGCAUGCCCGCUCAAAACGAUAAAAACCCAAUCAUGGCGAAGUAAGGAAGUGUCCUUCACUCCUAACUCCGAUUGUUACGUUGUCGGUCGCCCGUAACCCUCGCGAAGUUAGAAGCCAUACACUCCGAUCAAACUCUAAACUUUUUAGAAUUAUUUCAUCAAACCCAAUCAAAAUACUUUCAGCUCACAAAGUUCAAUAGACCCUCGUCUUCACGAGGACCUAUUCCUAUAGUCCGACCGAGCCCUAAGGUUUACUAGGUCUCUAAGAUCAACCCUAGGGCCUCUGAUACCAAACUAAUCUGUCACGCCCGGGACCGCGCGAAGGCCCUCCUUAGCGCGCCCAAACCCGCCAUAUGUCCUACACCAUAUAAGGCCGUCUACAACAGAAGUGAAAGUAAAGCAAGCAAGGUGAGAACAAUUAGCAUGCGAUAGGUAAUGAUAUAAGAUGCGAAGUAAGUUCUUAUCAUCCUAAACCAGAGUAAAGAGAAACAUAACUAACAAUAAAAGUCGCCAUAUAGGUAUACAAUACCUAUCUCCUCAAAAGAAAAACAAAGAUCCAAAGAAAUGUCGUCUCUAUACAUACACGGGUUACAACUACAACCUCUCACAUAAAUAAAACCACGAGAGGUAGACCACCUUCAAUCGGUCCUCGAAGAAGCUAGCUCGAAGAACUCCCUUUCCGCGGUCCCUAGCCUCUCCGACGUGAAAGGCUUCUGAAUAGAAACAUAAAACAGAGGGCAUGAGAACUUAAUUUAUAGUCCAGUUGGCAUUAUGUACCUCAGCUCAUUGCACCACUAGGUCAAGAGAAGGGGAAGUCAAAAGCACAUAACGAGUAAUUUGCAUCUAUGAAAGCAAUAAUGAAAAUGCUAAAAUUUACUUGCCAAUUAAACAUGGCGAUUUCAUGUAAGCACAGAUGAUCUUGUCAUAAAAGAUAUUGUCUCUCCUUAGCAUAAAUAAUAUUCAUGGUUUGCCUUAAUGAAAUUAUAGGAUUAUCCCUUAUCAUAGGCCACUAUUGUUUAUAUGAAUGCAUUAAACACUGCCUACCUAGCAUACUACUAAUAUGUAUGUAUACCCAAAGUUCCAACCUAUGCUAGAAGUAAGUCCGAAGUUAAUCCAAACUACCACUCUCUAUUAGAGUGACAUUAUAACAAACUGAGAUCCAUGUCGCGUACGGCUACUCCGGAGUGCCGCUGUAGGAGCGACUCACAAGCCAUGUGCGAAUGAGCACAAAUGCAAACAAGCAAGGUCACUGUCUCAAAUACUCCUAUCCCAUGUCUCUACAUGGCGAGGUCCUAGCAUCACCAAUGAUGCUAGCCAAGUCUCUUAAGUGAUGUCCAACUGCUCUCACUUGAGUUAGUGCCUCUUUUAAUGACACUUAACGCAUACAACAGAUACGAGCCCAAAUCUUAUUUAUGCUUUCAUUAAAACAUUACUACCAAUGUUACCAUUAACCGGGCCCAAUUGCUCUUUAUGACAUUCUGUCCAAUUCUCAAAUAGUCUAAGCUCUCCAGCCCGUCUCUACUUUCUAACAUUCCUAAAUGUCACAAUUAGACCUAUAGGUUAAUGCCAUGAAAGAAGAUCAUUCCAUCAGAGGAAUCUAUGGUUUCCCAAUCAUAACUAGAAUGCUAAGGUCUCACAUGCAUGCACUCUCCAGCAAUAGGGGUCUAAAAUUUCACUAUAUAUAAUAUAUGCAUGUUAAGCCAUUCCAAAUUCAUAUUUAAAUUACAUUUACAUGGGAAAUGCAUGAAUUCUACUUUACGAAAAUAUUUUGCCAAAAAUAUGAGCAUUUCUCAUAUCAAGGCCUAGAUCAAACCACCGAACCGUCGCGUGCUCCUUCGAUUCGCCGAACGAGUUGUCCACCGAGCCUCAAGAUACCCUAAAAGUUGAUCAGCGAAGAGAAUACACAAAGCAUUACGGAGCAACUUCUAGGCUCGAAACAAUAACAAUCACAACGAUAGGGCAAUAACUCACUUGAGGGAAGUAGACAAUUCUCCACUCAAGACUCCAAAAGAAGGCCAGAUCCUUUCAAUUAUCCAAAGGAGGCGUUCAUAAUCCAAAAAAUCUAAGCCUCAAAACCCUAGAUCAAAAAGCCACCAAAUCAACCCUAAAUCCAUCUUCUAGGGGUUUCACUCUCCCAACAAUCACCAAAACAGCAAUUUCUAUAGGACAGAACAGUUACUACUUUGAAGCUUCAAUCCAGCCUUCAAAUGCCCUAGAUCGCGAAGUUUGGUCCACCACUAAGCUCAAAGGCAAUGCUCAUCCACCAAAAGGAGAAGAAAGGGUGGAGAUGAGCUCCAGUUCCUCUUACAAGCCCUUCUUUCCUUCCUUCUACUUCCCUCUCCACUCUCUCUCUCUCUAGAAGCAAAAGAAAUGGUGAGUGAGGAAAGGAAAGAGAAGUGGCCAGUAUAGCUCUCUCUUGUACCAAAAUCCUGUGCAGGCCCCUCAGAAAAUCCAAUAUUGCAUCAGCCCGGUCUGGGCAUUUUUCGCCAAGAGGACCGGUCUCUCCCCAGCAGGGAAGGUCUCUCGCUGCCGAACCCGGGAGACCAACGUUUCGCGAACCGGGUCUCCCUGCGUGGGACCGGCUCUCUCUGCGACAUGCACGCUCAGGGACCGCGUGCAUCAAGGCUGCUGCAACACUGUUCACCUGGGGGACGAUCUCUCCUUCCAGGGACGGUUUCGAAAGUAAAACUCUCAGUUUAUUGUCAAGAAUCAGUUUUCGAAACUUUUAGUCGAAAAACAUUCUUACAUACCCUCCACCAAGUGUGGAAACUCGAAAAUAACAUCCAAACACGGUCGUAACCUCGCAAUUGCAAAGGCUCCAGUGUGCAUACACACCGGCGUGCCAAACAAUUUGUUAGGAGCGAAUUCCCUUCUCUUUGACCGGUCAAAGAUUUUCUUCGGAAGCGGGUCGGGGAUGCGAACGGCUACGAUUAGUGAUCCUCGAGUUGUUGCCCUUCGACUGAAUCAGCGAUUCAGCUGAUGAUGGAUCAGAUCAGCCACAGUUCAAAGCUUUUUACUGUAGACUGGUUCGGCUUAAGAGCCAAAUUGCUAACAGAAAAUAUAGGUUCUAAGUCGGCUGAAGAGCGAAUGCCUUUAUAUAUUGGCAGUUAACUGAAAACUAGUACCAGAGACGAGUGCUGCCUGAGGCAUACAGACUCUUGUUUGAUCUACCUUAAAUCUACUCCUAGGAAAACGGUAGUGCCGGGAAAGUAAAAGAUUACAAUGUAGACUACUCCUUAAGUAAUUGGCGAAAAAAUUUACAGAGGGAAAUAAAGGUUGGGUCUUCUGGUUCUCUGAGGAAAAGACCUCUUUUCUGUGCAUUAUCUUUGUUAUUUUUUCUUAUUUUUGCUUAUUAUAGUCGUCCCCCUGUUUUGAUCCGUUAUUCCCCAUCCAUGAUCGGCAAUACUCCUAUUAUUCCGGGAGUCAUUUCCAGCCGAUCGGAACUGCUUGCUUAACCACUCUGCAGUUAGGGCCGUUUGUUUUGUGUAAGUGGAGUGAGUGGAACUCAAGUUCAAUCACUUCUCGUUAUUUGUUUUGGUUGUAAGUUAAAAUUAAAUAACCCACCUACUCUCGACUUCCGGUCUUACAGUACCGAACUGCGACCUUCCAACCACACUCAACUUCUUAAACAAUUUAUUAAACAGUAAAUGAAACUCUACUUUCUUAUAAUGGGUUAGAAUUACUUUAUUUAUAAUAUAUAAAUUAUCUAAAAAAAUAAUAAAAUUUAAUCAUAUAAUGGUUUAAAUUUAUAGUGAUAAUUUAUUUCCUAUAUAAGAGAUAAUGAUCCACUGUACUUUACAUCAAAACAAACAACGGAACUUAAAAAACUAAUUUUACCAGCACCAAGUUACAUCAAAACAAACAGCAGAAGUGAUUGAAUUUAACUUUCAGUGGUACGAGUUACGUCAAAACAAACAACAGAAAAAUAAUCACACUUCAGGGAAACUCAAACACCACUACACUUGACUUAUGUUGAAUCUACAAAUUCGUCAAUCCAAACGCCCCCUUACUGUAACUUCCCUCAGUUACAUCCGGCAGUUACUCAAUAUUAUUGUUGAUACUCCCGGUGCACAUCAAAAUCUUUUUAAUCCUUGCUUCUUAAAGACUAGGGUUGAGUGGAGUACUAGCGUACCACCUGGCCACAGGUUAUUGGCCCAACAAGUUGUAUCUUCAAUUUCCUUGAAUGGGUCAGGUUGGCAGCCGAUAACGCGACGUCGUCAAAAUGGUUGAAACACAUUUCACCUACUUUCACAUGAUUGGUGUUUAUUUUAUGUUGAGCGGGGUUGCACUUGAAUUGGACUGUAAUAACCUAAUAUUAUUUUUACAGAUUAUGAUACCGACGACGCGCUCCAUAGAGAAUAGGCAGUCGAAUCGGAGACAUUCACGUCCUCUGGAUCGUCCGAGUCCGGAAGCUUAGGGAGCCAUUGGCCAUAUUGGCCAGCAUGGUGGAGAGACAGACAUCACCGGCAUAGUUGUAAGCAGAAAAAUCUUAAUAGUAUUAAAUACCAUUUUUCUCACUGGAACUCUGCUAUUUGCCGAAGUUCAGUGAACUAUAGAUAGGUGUUGGUGGGUAGGCUAGCAUCCAAUGUAAGCAUAUAAUGUGUGAACCGACGCGUUGCACAUACAAGGAAACUCUGUUUGUGUGUGGCUCAGUUGCAUACCCGAUUGGGCUUUUGCAUUAGAUAGUAACACAAGGAUUACUGGGAAUGUAAUUAACAUACCAAACACAUUAAUAUAAUAUUCCGGUAUUUAAAGAUAAUAUUGCUGGCCAAACCAAACAUAGUAAUGCUGCAUUGUGGGUAAUCAGAUUCAUGAGAAUAAGAUUUUAGAAAAUCUGACAUUGUUCGUUAAUCUUGUUAUAACAUGCACCAAACGCCUCCUUUGAAUAAUGUGUCCGGAUAAGCAUCUUGUUAUGUAUUUCUUCUUAAUUUCUGUGGUAUCUGUCAAAAUUGUCACAAUGAACAGUAGAAGUAAAAUCAAAUAUCCUAAAGAAAUUUUCUAUUUAUUUGAAAUAGAGACAGUGUGGCAUGCAGAUUAAAUGUCAGUUUUCCAAUUUAGGUGCAAUUGGACUUUCUAUAAAUUGAAGAAGCUGUGUACUUACAAAUCAAAUCUAAGGUUUUUUUUUUUUACAUUAGCCUAAAGAUGAUUUGGUAUGUAGUGAAUAUGGACUUAUGCUCGCAAGCACGUGCCCUCGUACACACGCAGAGUAGGUAUGUGCGAUGUCCCUUGAAGCAACUCUCAUGUCAUCGUGUAGUACUGCGCGAGUGAAUUUGCUGAAGCUGCAAAUAACUUGCUUUUUAUUUGGCUAAUUCUCUCCUCUUUUAUCUUUAGAUUACUGUUUAUUUGACGAAUCGAACUUAAAACAUAUUAAUUUGAGUCAAACGUAUGACACUUGGUAGAAAGAAAAAAAAUAAAUAAAAAUACAUGCUUAAAUUGAUUAGGCACAAACUGUUUAGAAGAGUUUGUAUCAUCAUAAAAUCUGUAAGCUGCAACACCGGUCCCCAAACUUUUGGCCAAGCUUCACUUCCUUCCUCAAAUUUAUAAGUUCGAACAGCUACAUCCUAAGUUUUUAAAACUGUCUCACUUUAGAUUCCCACGAUUGGUGCAUCUACACAUCCAUGGAUCACUAACCUAUUGAACUUGAUCACAUCUCAUAUUUCAAUCCUACCACUCACUCAAAAAGUUCUUUCACUGUUUGGAAAUUGAAUGGUUAGACUGAAGCACGAGAAUGAUGUUGUGUCGUCUUGCAGGCUGGACGUACAGAUGAACUGCAUAGAGUCGAUCAUUGUUCCUCUAAUGCAAUGACUAACGUAAAGACAGUUUCAAGAAUCUAGGAUGUCGAACUUCAAACUCAAAAGCAAGAGGACCAAAGUGAAACUUGGCAAAAGGUUCAGGGACUAGUAGUGCAAUUUACCCUAAUAUUUAAGGGACAGAGCUUCAGGUUUUGCUACGAUCAUUCGGAAGGAUAAAUCUUCUCAAUAAUGGAGUUGAAAGUAAGCAUUGACUAUUGCUGGGAAUGCUUUUACAACAAUUGCCUCUACUGCUGCUAAAAUCUUCUGUACAGGAUAAAACUACAAGACAUAUUGCAGAAACAGCCUCGACUUAAUUUCCAAUAACCAAAACCUCAUUGGCUAAUCUGCAGAAUCAUACAACCAAAACUUACCAAACUCGGCAACAAUAUUCAUUCGAGAAAAUGAGGCGAGUCCGGAAGGGGAAGAGGAGAGUAGAUUCAAGAGCCUAAGUGAGUAGCAUAGUGAAGUACGUCCUAUGGCAAUUCCUGUGCUUCCAAUAAUUCAUGGGCCUCCGACAAUUCUUGAGUUUCUGAGAAAGAUUGCACUUCUGCUUGCGCCUCCUUCAGCAUUUCAGCUGCAGCUAUUAGCUUUCUCGGCCUUCCUCUAGACCUCGCGGGAGUCACAUCAACUGCGGCAUCUAACGACGAGACGACUGGCUCCACAUCAGAAGCAGUUUCAUCCACUGUAGGCAUAUUCCUCACAUGGCUGAGAAGCUUAUUCAUAUGCCACUGCGCGUAAUCAAACCGGUCUUUUGUCAAGGACGAUUCUUGUAUAAUGAUGGAAGCCAGGGACCGAAGGGCUUGUGACCUAUACUUGUAUCCCGUGCUUUUUGGAAACAACGAGCUUUCUUUACGCCACCGAGGCAAAAGAUAUUUAUCCGGAAGUAAGAAGAAGUUCUUCAAUGGUAAAACCCUAAGGGCGUGGCGGCACAAAAUCCCAGAUGACUCAAACUCCUUGCAACUGCAACGUAUCGAUUCGUCUGACGAAAUCCACUGAAUGAUAUGCCCUCCAUUAGACUGCAAUCGAUGUUGGACGAGGUACGUGUCUCUUUGAGCAUCAUAAACCGCAAAUUGUGUUGAUUCCACAAGCUCUUUUUGAAAUAGAUCAAAGGCGAAAGGAGUAAGAAUACUCGCUGCAUGCUCUUCAAUCGGCAUGCAUGUCUUAAUCUUCAUAUUCUGGUAGUCUUGUCUUAUUGUUGCUUCCUCUGCUGCUUGGUUUUGGAGGUCAACUGCGGUGGCCACCUAAUACAAAACAAAAAAAUGAGCUCUACUAGUUUGAAAACCAGAAACAAAAAAGCAAACAAAGGAAGAGUCACAUGAGAGGAAGGAAAUAUUUAUGGUAGAAACAUUAAAAUACCUGCUCGACAAAAUCUCUUAGCCGAGUCUGAGAGUUCAAGAACCCUCUGAAGAACGAUUUGAUCGAUGUCGAAAAACCAGUUGCAUUCAAUCCACCAAAGAACCACCCUCGAAGGAAUGGUAAUGCCCAAUUUUCCCGGUUAUAUGUAAGUAAGGUAAUAUGUCGGUCUGAGCUAAGUCCAAACUCGCUAACCAUCUGACUCCAUUGUUGAGUAAAAUCCUCCAAAUUAUCCAACGUAGAGAUUCUUUGGAACUCGGUCAUUAACCUCUCAAAAUGAGGGCCAAGUGACAUUGAAAACCAGCUCGAUAAUUUGGAGACGAUGUACCAUGAACAAAAUGCAUGUUUUGUGUUUGGUAGCUCACUCAUUAUAGCUUCUUUGAGUCCUAGAUCCAGAUCAGUCAGCAGUGUUUGCGGGAGCUUCCCAUCCAUUAGAUGGACCAAAGACUACACAAAGAAAGCAAGCCAAUAUUAAAGACACAAAAGAAGAUAAAGGGGAAAUGUGAACAGAAAUAAAAAAAAAGGUUCUCAAAUAACAAAAUAAGCUCGCAUACAAAAUGCUGAAAUAAUAACCUAUAUUUAACCCCCUCGAUUGUUUAGACUACUAGCACUUUGGCCCUUCCUAUCAUAUUUUCCUUUUUUUUCCAUUUAGGAAUUGUUGGAAAAUUGUUAUUGGCAUAAGGACAUUUCAGAUUAUAAUUUAGGACUAUCUAACAAUUCAAAAGUGGAUUUCAUAUUUAAAGAGGGUGAAACAAACAAAUGACAUUAUUCUUAGCAGAGUUUUGUACAAUUUAGCCACAAAAAUAAGAAGGAAAUGUAGACAAACCUGCAAAGCCCACCUAAAGGAAGAUGGCCUUUCAUCCUGCAAUAGAACACAAGCAAAGAAUAUGGCGUUGCCAUAGUUGUCUGUGCCAAACCAAACUCCAAAAGGUCGGUCAUAUGCAUAGAGCCGAUAUGUAGUAUCAAACACCACUACAUCUCCAAAAACUUUGUAUGCAUGAAUUGAGUCUGGGUACGACCAUAAUACAUGCUCGAGCUUGUCAUUCGCAUCAACAGUAAAAUCAUACCGAAAAUCUGGACACCUGUCUUUCAUUGCCUUGCAUGCCUUGAGAAGCUCCACUCCUUCAUUCUCGCGAUUAAUGUUCUUCGAAGCCUGUAAAAAAUUCCUCAAAUCCCUCUCAGUGAACGACAACUGCCCUGCCUUCACUCCUUUUUCCAUCUCGAGAGCCCUCAUUAUAAGAUUCACUGUGCAGCCGGCCUUCACAAGAUACAAAAUUCGCUCCCGGUCCACCGAUGAUAUAUUCCUGUAGGCAGGAAGAUGUCGCACUUCAUCGCUAUCGAGCAACUCAUGGUUAUGCAUGUUACUGAAUUGAACGACCACCCACCGACUCGUACCCUUUGAGACGUUCUUCUUGAUUAUCAUUUGCGCCUCACAUUUGCAUCGCGAAGAUUUCUUAUUUCUUUGGCGCUUGAGCUCGGCUGUUUUACGUGGAAGGGACACACCAGCUCGGUGGCACACGAGCUCUCGCUUAUAUACUCCUAAAGGGUGAGAAGGGUUUCCCUUUGAGCGCUCUCUUCUUAUUGCGAAGCCAUUUCUACGAGCAAAGUUGGUAUAGUAUUCUUGAGCCUCAUCAUCGGUUCGGAAGGACUGGCCCACAUAUGGGGUUUCUAUAUUUACUAUAUCAGGAGAAGUGUGUGGCGGUCCAUGCAUAAGGUUUGGAUCGACAGGCAAUGCGGUGUCAGUUGAUGCAUCUUCUUCAUUCCCCUCAACCUUAAUAUAGCAUUGCUCAUCCCCACACGGGCAUCGUCGUCUUUGGGUAAGACAGCCGUUGUUUCUUGACGAUGUUUUCGUCAUUCAAAGUGCGUUCAGCCUGAGAGUGCCAAUCUGCUACUGUAUUAUACACAAAUUACAAAGUAGAAACAAAGCACGAGCACAGUUAAUGCAACACAUUACAAUAGUAAGGAAAAAAAGGAUCCAAGUGAACUAGAAGAAGAAAUAAGUUAACAAAGCCCUUCAAAUUGAAUAACAUAAACUCAUAUCAUUUUGGAUCUUCAUUUUAAGUAUGAAACUCAAUAGUUGGUCACAAUGCAAUGAAGAAACAACAAUACUAUGGGCAUGUUUAGCACCGCUUCUGCUUUAAGCAGCAGAAGCCUCUAGAGAGUGUUUUACAAACAGAAAAUUUUGGAUCUUCUGCCAUAGAGCCAGAAACAAAAAUAAGAUUCUUAGCCUCAAAUGCAGAAGCCCCAAAUUUGGUGCUUCCGAUUCUUCUGUAAAGAGAAGCUCGUAGGGAGAUUUUUCUAUAGUGAUUCUACUAAUUGCACUACUCACACAACGCUGAGGGCCAAAUCAAAGCUCAAUAGAAGAAAGACAAACAACAAUUACAUAGACGAGCAACAGAAUUACCUCAUUCUUAUUGAUAUGCUCAUUGCAAACCAAAAUAUUGGACAUACAUUUAUUUCUGAAGCAAUUAAAAAGCAGGGUACAAUUAUGUUUGAUCAGAAGUACUGCAUUAAGUACCACUAUUUGAUGAAGUAGACAAAUGCACUAAAAACAGCAAUCUUUUUUCCAUAGCAUAAUCUAAUUUCACAUAAUUAGCUCAGAAACUGAAGCAAUGUCCCAUCUUUAAUCCAUUUAUUUAUCAACGUACUACGAAUUAAAAGCCGAUUGAAUGCAUCUGUAUCGCAGAAUUAGCUUAGGCCCUGUUUGGAGGUUGGAAUAAGUUAUCCAAGAAUAACUUAUUUGGUGUAAGGAUUCUCUAGUGCGCUUAUAAGAAAAAAAUUUGAUCUUUACACCUCGAAAUGUCUUAAUAUUUGUGAUUUAAUAGAAUAACAUAGUUUACUUAUAGGAAAUAAUUUAUCUAAUGUGAAAAAAAAAUAUAUUUAUUUAUGAUUUGAUAGAACAACAUAUUUUACUUACGAAAUAAUUUAUCUUUUAAGUGAAAAAAAUGACUUGAAGGCUGAAUACAACAUCAAAUUCGACACUUUCAUCUAUCAAACAUACAAGUUUCUGAAGUAAAUUAAGAAGACAUAAAAAAACAAGAUACUCGUACAUUCAAAAAGGGCUGGGGACAAGAAAAAAGCUCAUAAAUGUCCCAAAUUUGGAGCCAAUGUUAAGAAAUAGCUCUUAGCAUGAUCGUAAUUAGCUCAAAUUAGGAGCAUUACCCGAGAUAGAGGCGAGAGCGCGAUGAAUUUGAGGGGCUUUGGUUUAAUGUUAGGGUUAGGACUUUUGGUGUGGGGAUUUGGGUACGCCUAACGGCGACUCGGGGGAGCGCGGAGGUCUCCGGCGAGGAAUUGGGGGGUUGAUAUUCCGACCCCCUUUUGCUGGGGCCGGAUCCACACGGCGCGCGAGAGAGGCAGAGAGGAGAGAGGGAGGUGGGAGGGAGAGACGUCGAAACACGGGUGGGAAUAUCGAACGCCGCGGGUUAUGAGAGAAAGGGGUUUUUCCAUGUAGAAAUAAUUUUUACAAAUUAAUUUUGAUUUGAAAUAUUAAUUUGAGUUAAACUUAUUGAACGUUUGGCUAAUUUUAACUUACGAAAAAUUCUCAAAUAAUAAUGUUUUUACUGAAUUUAUUUUAAAAUAAUUUAAAAUCAGAGCACAAAUUUAAAAUUUGGUAUUUAUAAUUUAAAACUUAAAAAUAAAAUUUUCAAAUUUCAAAUUUAAAUUUAAAUUUAAAUUUAAAUUUUGAAUUUUAAAAAUAUAAAAUUUUAAAACAUAAAUUUUAGAUAUUAAAUUUUAAAAUUUUAAAAUUUUGAAUUUAAAAAAUUUAAAUUUGAAAUUUGAAAUUGAAAAUUUAAUAUUUAAAGCCUAAAGAUUAAAAUUUAAAAAUAUAAAAUUUAAAAAUAUAAAAUUUUAAAUUUAUAUAAUUUCAAAUUUUAUAUUUUAAAAUUUAAAAUCUAAAUUUCAAUUGAAACUUAAAAUUUUAAAAUUUGGAAUUUGAUAUUAAAAUUUAUAAACUAAAAAUUAUAAUUAGGAUUUGAAAUUUUAAAUUUCAGAUUUUAAAAUUUAUUUUUAAAUUAUAAAUUUGAAAUUUAAAAAUUUGAAUUUUGAAAUUUGGAAUUCGAGAUUUGAAAUUUAUAAUUUAAAUUUUAAAAUAGAAUUUAAAAUUUAAAAGUUAAUAUCUAAAUUUAAAAUUUUAGAAUUUAAAACUUUAAAAUUUUAAACUUAACAUUUGAAUUUUAAAAAUCUAAAAUUUAAAUUUAAAGUUUAAAAGUUGAAAUUUGAAAUUUAAGAUUUAAAAUUUAAAUUUAAAAUUUGAAUCCAAAAUGUAAAUAUAGUAUCCCUGGUGUUCUGCAGCCUGUGUGAUUUCAGCAUCUAAGACUUGUCAACACAUCUGGAGAGUGUCGAGACCAGUCGGAGUCGUUUUAGUGCGAAAUAGACGUAAAACAGACUCGACGCGAGGCGAGAGUGGAAUUCCAACGCUGAAAUCCGCAAAGUGCAGGAUUUCAGUGUUGAGUACCGAUACGGUAUUGGGCUGGUACCGGUACCCUGUGUGUGAGCUUGUGGUUUGAGAGGCCGAGUACCAGUAACCAAAUCGGAUACCGGUACUCCAGCUGUCUUUUGAGUUGGUAAAGGGGUAUGGUGGUCACUUGUGGUGGUGGUUAUCCACGCCACCUACUCACUUAUGUUUAUCCACCAGAGAGAGAUUAAUUAUCUCAUGUUCAUCUCUCUAGUUUUAAUUGUGUGCUUAGUGGAGGCUACGGCUUGAGCUCGGAUCGAUGUUGACGUUGCGCCGGGGAGUCGUUCGAGCGCGUGGACGUCGCGGUUGCGCCGUUGGAGGGCGGGGGGAAGCGCGUGUUUUCCUUUCUCUCGACUUCUCGCCGUUGUUGGACUAGCUUUCCAAGGUGGGUUGAAGUUUACUGAAAUCGUCGAAAUACCUCCUAAGUUUUUAUAUCGUCAUGUAUCAUGUGUUUAUUUUCUUGCUAGUACUCGAAUUCAUGGAUAAGGCUUAAAAUCUGAAUUUGGAGUUAAGUAGUAGUAGUAUAAUUUUACAUGUUGGACUUGGAAUUGACUUAGGAAAAAACUGUAGAUCCUACACUGUCAUUUUCUGAAAACUACCAGAUUUAGCUUUAGGAGCUGUGGUUUGUUUGUAUUGACGCAGUUUGUAUGCGGUAGAUACCCAGAUUAGUGUAGGAUGGGUUUACGCUAGUACUGGAAUGCCAAGUUUAUUUUUACAGUAGUGUAUAGACUGUUUCGGACUGUCGGGUGCCGUCGCGGUUGACGGUGGACCCAGAUUUCUGUAUUUAUAUUAGAUUGUGUCAAGGGCACGUGAACUUUGGUUGUUAGACCCAUUUGCUUUGAUUAUAGCCUGUGAGAGUUUGAUUGAGCUCAGCAGAGACACGCUUGCAUACUCGGUUGGGUAGUGCCCACGAGUGCCGCACCGGAGUCGUGCUUUAUGCUUUUGCUUUGUUGUCGCUGUUAGAUGUAUGCCCUAGAAGCCAACCAGGCCGACACAUGUAUUCUUUUUAGGACAUAAAUUUGUAUUUGAUUUUAAAAUAUUAUGAACAAAUUUGGGUCCUUAAUUCCAUUCAUGUUGUGUAUGUGUUCAUGAAUCGGCCAAGGAAUUAAUAAGAUGAUGACAUAUAUUCUCAAGAGUUAAGAAUUUGAGACAUGUGUCAUUGGUGGUUAAUUCCUAAAUGCUCCCGAUCAAUGGAUCAUCACGGGGACGGUAAUUGAUCCGAUGAGAUUGGUGCAUAGGUCGCUUCCCUUUUUGGGUAGACGAGUCUCGAGUCGACAAUGUGGGGACACUAAAGCGAAUGUGCUGGUGGUUGUUAGAGAACAAGGGUACCGAGCGUGACCAACACGAAAAGUCACUUGGAUGUUUACUUACUCGUCAGUGACUUACUCAACGUUGCAAUAGUGUGACUGGUCCUUUGACCUGCAGUGUCUCGCCUAUUUACAAUGAGGUUUAGGGAUGCAAAUGGAUUCGGGUUGGUGGAGCUCCCGCCCCAACCCGCCCCGAAUGGGGUAGUAAACGGGGGGAAAUAAACGGAUUCGGGGCAGGAAACGGGGCAAUUUUUGUAAUCCGAGGCGGAUUCGGGGCAGGAAACGGUAAAAUUUUUGAUCCGCCUCGAAUCCGCCCCGAAUCUGCCUCGCCGCGAAUCCGCCUGAAUCCGCCCCGAAUCCGCCCCGAAAACCAUNUCUCAACACUCAGAACACUGAUACCAGCCAGCCAUCUCUAAAAAAAAAAAUCCCAAACGUUUAACUAUCGAUAUAUAUGUCUACCCACAAAGCAUUUAUAUAGUAAAAAGUCCCCAUUGAAUUUCUUCAAUUUUUACCAAAAGCCCCGCCUAAGCCCCGCCUCACAACCCCUCCAGAUCUCCACCUACCACCCUCCACGACCGGCCGCCGCCGCUGCCGCCGCCAUCGCCGCCCUUUCCCUCGCUUCCGCCGGCCGACACUGCCCUUUCCCUCCCCUCCGCCGGCCGACGCCACCCUUUCCCUCGCAUCCGCCGGCCGACACCGCCCUUUCCCUCGCCUCCGCGGCUCCGCUGGUCGCUGCCCUUUCCCUCGCCUCCGACGGCCGCCGCGCUUUUCCUCACCUCCAUCUCCUUCUUUGCCUCCGUCUAUAAGUACCAUACCCCCUUUUUUUAUUUCUUUUCCCUAUUUUUUUCUUCAUUUUUUAGCAACAUCUAAUAUUGUUGAUAAACAUCAAGUGCAUUGUUAGUGCAGAGGUUCAGGAGCGUUCCCAGGUUCCUCCAGGUACUACUCUCGUGUUAUUAAGGAAAAUAAAUUUGUACAAUUGUUUUAUUCUGCUGUUAUUUUUCUGACUUAAAAAGAGAUGCUUUAUUGCCCUCAUUAAUUGGGCUUAGGUCUGAUUAAAAGGAGGUAUGCUUGUCUUCCUAAUCCUGACACUGAUUGAGAGCAUUAGAGCAAUGUAUCCUGUAAUUUGUUUUUUUUUUUUAUUUACUUCUUUCAAUUUACUCUUGAGUACUCGCUGAUCUUAUAGAACUUGUGAUAUUGAGAGAUUUACUGUGAUUGUUACUUAUUCCAGCUGUCUCCUGUAGAGUGUAUGUGCUCUGUUAUUGUGAUUGAUAUUUUUAAUUUGUAUAGUUGUUAUUGUUAUUUAUAUAUAAUUUGAUAAUAUUAUCAAUUAAUAUUACAAAUUUUGUGGAUUUAUAUUUACAAAAUGUUAAUAAUAUUAAAAUUUAUAAAACAAAUACUAUUUGGCGGGGCGGAUUCGGGGCACCGUCGGGAGGCAGGGCAGACUUUUUGUAGUCGGGGCGGGAGGCGAGGCGGGGCUCCCGCCCCGAGAUCCGCCCCGUUUGCAUCCCUAAUGAGGUUAUUGUAGUUUGACUGUACAUACACUUGGUCCCUAGCCAUUCGGGUCCUUGCGGUGCAUGUUGGCUACAGUAGGUUCAUUGUAGGAAUAGAGUGCGCACUUAGAUGGAAUCUAUCUCUCUUAGUAGAUAGGGGUGUUAGUCCUAUGUGAUUUAUGAGACCGAGUUUAGAAGAUCUUGGCCAGGGCAGAGUUAAUAGCGGAAAAGGGUUUUCGAUAUUAGAAACUCGAGUCGAAUAAAUUUAACAUAUGACAGGCAAUGGGGUUUGACGAGUUAUUCCAUAACCUCCGUCUUGUCGGGACUCAUGAUAGAAGGAUUGUAUCACACGGUAACUGCACCAAGAGGUUCAGUAUUUCAUUCUACUGUAAUGCCACUACAUGCUGCUAGGCGUCACUGGUGGAUUGUGAGACUCAUGGGAUUAUCUAGAUGAUCGAUAAUUCUCAUUGGGCUGAGUUGGAAUUGUUUCGAUCCACUGAAAGGAGUUUCAGUUAUAUUGUUGAUAGUGAUCAAAAUAUAUCUCACUACCAGAUAGAAUAGAACCUAUGGGGUCACACACAUAAGAGGUUGUAAUUGAUCGGAUAGCUAGAUCGCGAUUAUUGAAUCGUCGGAAGACCUAAUUGUCAAUAUAUUGAUAAUUGGACUAAUUUGUAAUUAUUACAAAUUAGUGGUAUUAAGGUGUAAAUGUUACUAGAGAGGACUUACUAAUGGUUAGUAAAUUAUAAGAGGUCUUAUGUGCAAAUGUUGCGUUAUUAAUUUGAUAUGAUCAAAUUAAUAUAAAGUUCAAGUCGAAUCAAAUUAGGAUUUGAUCGAUUUAACCAAUUAAGGAAAUGAUAUAUUUAAAUCUAGAUUUGUACUUUUCUUUAAUGGUUAUUAUAUUAUUAAUAAGAGGAUUAUAUUCUUCCAUAUAAUAAUAUGGGAGUUUUUAGAAAACCCUAGCCGUUGUCUCUCUUCUCCUCUCUCUUCCAUAUUCUAGCAAAAAAGAUGACCUUUUGCAAGGGAGCUAGGAUCCCGGUGAGGACAUCAAUCAAAUCAAGAACCUCGUGUGGAUACCUAUAGAGGCCGGACGCGUGUGCAGCUUCAAGAGAACCCGAUUCCACGAUCAUCAAAUUGAGGUGAAGAUUUAUCCGCGAAAAAGGUAAAGAUUUGAUCUUGCUUUUCUCCUUUAAUCUUAAAGAACAUGAUUGCGUGGUUUUUGAGAUUGGAUCUCGAGAGUUUUCAAAAUCAAAUUUAUUUGAUUUCCUUUUCCGCUGCGUUUUUACCGUACGCAAUUUUUUAAUAGUGGUAUCAGAGUCAUCCUCAUGUUUUUAAGAUUAAAAUUAUGAAUUUGGGUAUUUUAAACCGUUCUUUGCCGGCUGAACAAUUUAUACAUCGUUUUCGGCUAAUUCGAAAAAUCCAAAGUUAUCAACAAUUUAAUCUAUUGUUUCCAAGCAAAAAAAAAAAAAAAAAAAAAAAAGAAAAAGAAAAAGAAAAAAGUUACUANCAAAAAAAAAAAAAAAGAAAAAAAAGAAAAAGAAAAAGAAAAAAGUUACUAUAGUGAUGUUGCCGUAGCAUCCGUACGUAUGCUACUGUAGCAUCCGUAUGGACGCAAAAUUUUUAUUUAUUUAUUUAUUUAUUUAUUUUUUAAAAGUUGAUUAGAUCGAUUUUAAAAUAAAAGAAAAAGGUGGAUCUAAUUUGAUUAGAUCAAAUUUAUAUCUUGAUGAGAUCAAGUUGUUAUUUUUAAGAUUAAGUUGUUGAUCAAAAUUAUAAACUAUCAAUAAGAUUGAUUGUUUUUAAUAAUUUAGUUAAUUAAUUUUUUGAAUCAUCAUUGAACGGUUAAUUAGAAUACCCAAAAUUAAUUAUUAUAUAUGUGAUGUAUGAGAUACAUAUCGGUGAUGAUCAUGGAUAAUGACCUAUUUAUUUUUGUUUCGACAUGUGAUGUAUGAUGUGUAUACAGAAUCCUGUAAUAUUAAAUUUGUUUAAAUUAAGAAAUUUGUAUUAGAGAUGGCUUUUUUGUGCCUGCGUGCAUAAGCUGAUUUAUUUGGAGACCUACGUGCCUCAAUAGGUGAGAGAUAAAAGUUAUCAAAUGUAAUUAAUUUUUAUUUUAUUUUUAUUGUUGGGUUGUAUAAUAUAUGGUUGGACGUCAUUGGUUGAUUGGUUGCAAGCCGAGAAGUACGCAAAGACUUAAUCGAGAUGAACACUUUAUGGCGGUCGGAUCAAGGUGUUGAUAAGGAUCGGAUCAAGUUGAAGCUCCAGAUCGAAUAAAGAAGUUGAAGACGAUCAAACCAAUGACGUGUGUGUGCUUGCAAUUUUUGACCCUAUGACCCCGAUUCCGACUCAGUGGCUCGUGUCCGAAUCCACUUCUAAGAUCCAUGAUCAUCACCAGUUUAAUUAUUUUUAUGCGCGGAUUAUUUUUAUUUACAUUAGAUGUAAAUAAAUAAAAUAUUUUUUUGAGACCUAAAUUUAAAUCUCCUCACAAAUAUUAAUUCGAGCAGUCUUCCGCCGUUGUAGAAGUGCGGGCGUUUUUCUGGUGUUGAUUGGCACGGCUGGUUACAGUAGUCAGUUGCAUCGGAAAGACGCAACCACUCUAUUAGCAUGAGAUGCUGCGGAGUAAAGAUGGAGUUGGACACAAUAACUGUCAGGUGAGGGACCCAAUGACGGCUUUGCUUACGCGUUUGAACGGUGGGUCUGACUUAACUAAGGAAUGGGACCAAUAACUGUUAGGUGAAGCCUACAGGACUUAGAGACCGAUCACUGCAAUUUGCUUGAGAAGUAUUGGACAAGAGUUGUACACUUAUCUAUUUGCAUAUCACCAAUAACUGUUAGGUGAUGUGGUACGUUAAACUAGUGGGACCGGAGUACCCACUUGAAAUCUUUUGUCGUGUUGGAUUUUCGUUUCUCUACCCGAGAAGUGUAAGAGACUCUAGAAAAUAGUGGGAAGCUAAAUUUGUUUUUAAAAUCCCUAAAGCAAAAUUUCAAAACAAAUACAAAUAUCUAACUUAAAUCUUUACUCUCUGCAAAGCUAAUGACUGCUUCCAAUUAUCUCUCUCGUAUUCUCGACACAAAACCCUUAACUGAAACUAAUUAUAAAAACUGGCUGAGGAACUUAAAAAUAGUUUUAAAUUUCAAUAAGCUCUGCAUUGUUUUCGACCAGGUAAACCUCACGUUGCCAAACCGUCCAAUCACUAACCGAAAGGCAGUCCGUUCAUGAUCAUUGUUUGACAAUGAUCAUAAACCUCGAGGAGCUUGAGAAGUUCGGCGUGAAAAUGGCAAGGAAUUGCAAGUUGAUCUGAUCCUGCAAUCCCUUUCUGUAUCAUAUGGACAGUUUAUUGUAAACGACCAUAUGAAUAAAAUUGACUGCACUAAUGCAGAGUUAUUGAACAUGUUGGUAAUAAUAUAUGGGACUUUGAAAAAUUUAAAACGCACGGUUCUCGUAGUGGAGCAAGCUUCCUGAGGCCGGACGCAUGUGCGGCUUCAAGAGAACCCGAUUCCACGAUCAUCAAAUUGAGGCGAAGAUUUAUCCGCGAAAAAGGUGAAGAUUCGAUCUUGCUUUUCUCCUUUAAUCUUAAAGAAUAUGAGGGAUCAUAAUUGCGUGGUUUUUGAGAUUGGAUCUCGAGAGUUUUCAAAAUCAAAUUUAUUUGAUUUCCUUUUCCGCUGCGUUUUUACCGUACGCAAUUUUCUAACAGUCGUAACAAUCCUGUUUGGACGGUGCUUUAGGACCGGCCGCCUCAGUGGUGGUGUGCGGUAUAGCUCGGUGCUUUAGGACCGACCACCUCAGUGGUGGUGUGCGGUAUAGCUCGGAUGCAGGCGGGACAGGUUGGCAGUCCCUUGACAGUAUAGUCGUUGUUGCAGGGGACGCAUAUCUACAGAUAGUUAGAGUUGGUUAAUGAUAGUAUAGUGGCAUAUAGCUGUAAAGUUUUACUAGCUUCUUUUACUAUCCUUCUGCAUACUUUCUGUAGGCUUAGUGGGUGAGCCGUUGAGGUCGAUAGCGGUACCCACUGAGAACUACUUCUUCUUGCAGUAGUUCCCACAUCCAGUUGUUUACCCCUUUUUGCAGAGCUUUCUUCUGCGGCUGCUGCUGUCGCCGAUACUGAUCGUGGAAAGGGGGUUGCGAGCUAGAUCCCUUCCCUGGUUGCAGUACUAGAGAAGUACCAGCUGCAGGUAGUUUUGGUUUCUGGUUCAUGUACAUACUUAUGUUGUUACUCACUGGAGCGAGAGAUGUUGCAUCAGGGAGACUUUGUAUGUAUAGUGAACUUCAUGUUUAUUUAUAUGCAAUUCAGUUUAGCAGCUCUAUACUACUAGUUGUAGUUUUGUAUGAUUAUAGAUACAGGUACAGCUAUCGCUUCGUAUCCAGAGAAAAUUCUUUUGUAUACAGCAGGUCUGUUGGCAUGCCGGGAAAAAUGUGGUAAUCUGGGGCAUGACAUAUUAAGUUGGUAUCAGAGCUUAGUAUUAAGUCGUUGGGACCUAGAAAACUUUAAGUUUGGCAAACUUUAGGAAGGCAAGAUGCGAGAGGCAUGAUUUAUCACGAAAGUCAGCGAUUGAAUUGUUUUAACUCCUCCUAGAGUGGAGUGAAUGACUGAAGGAGUGUUUAUUUCGGCCAAGAAAAUUAUGUCGGCUGCAGACGGCAUAAUGUUUAGGAGAAACAUAGGUGGCAUUCUAGACUUUUGCUUGAUUGGGUCGAGAGUUGAUUGUGUUUUGUAUCUGACUUUUGUUUUGAUUUCAGAUAGCCAUGUUUCGACGCCGAGGUUGACCGCCGACGCGGGAUCGUGUCGCACCAUCAGAGAUGCCUUAGCAGGCAGGGCCGUGUGCACCCCCUAAUCUGAGAAAGCAGUUGGCUGCUUUGACUGAGGCGACGAGGCAGCAGGGGGCACUGUUACAGAGGAUGUGUGAGACAUUUACUCCACCGCCAAGCGCAGUGCCUAGAGCACGAGAGCAGUCAGCACUACCACUGACUAUUCCCGUGGCUGCACCAGCCACAGUUGUACCCCCACCAGUGACAAUUCCUUCGGUGCCAGUUGCAUUCUCUCGAGAGGUUGAGCAGAAGCGGAUGACUGAUAGGCUUGCUCAUUUUCGUCGGUUUGAUCCGCCGCGCUUUGACGGCAGCUGUACGGAGCCCUGGGUUGUAGAGGGCUGGGUGAGCGCGAUGGAGAAGUUAUUUGAGGAUUUGUUUAUACGGGAGCGGGAACAGAUACAUCUGGGAGUGCAUUGUUUGGCUGGCGAUGCGCAUUCUUGGUGGAGGAGGAUAAGGGAUACUCAACAGUUAGUAGCGUUGCAGAUGAAGUGGGAUGAGUUCUGCGGAAUAUUGUACGGGGCGUAUUUCCCAAACAGCGUGAAGCAGAAGCUCGAAGAGGACUUGAAGAAGCUACAGCAGGGGGAGCGAUCAGUUCAGGAGUGUACCCGUGAGUUUACAUGACUUCUGAACUGUGUGUCAUUUGUAGCUAGGGAUGAGGCCCACAAGGUAUAUCUGUAUGAGGGAGGUUUGAGGCCAGAGAUUUUUUGAUUGGUACAUGCGCAGAGAUUGAAGACCUUGGAUGCGUCGAUUGAGCAGGCAUUGUAGGUGGAGAGAAGUGAUGUAUCGAUCCGUGAGCGGGCCCAGGUGCCAUGGCAGAGUUAGGACAGGAAGCGCUCGGUUCCAGAUGACGGAGGGUAGUCGAGCAGCAGGCGUCCACCGAGGCCUGCACGAUCAUAUUCUCAGGGUUGUAGGUCUUCGGGACCACAGCGGUCUGAGGGAUCCCGUCAGCAGUAUAGGAUUCCAUGGUGCAUCAUUUGUGGGGGACCACACUGGCCCCGACAAUGUGAGCAGAGAGAGUGUACACAGCUCAGGUAGAGGCUCUACAGCAGCGACCGGGUGGUGGCAAGUGUUAUUUUGAUUUCUGGUAUUAGAGCUCUUGAUAUCGGCGCAUCACAUUCUUUUGUUAGCCGAGCAUUUGCAUUAUUGUAUGGUUUAGAGAUAGGGCUGUUGUUGCAUGCAUGAAAGCUGUAGAUUUCCGACCAUGUUUUGUAGGUAGCAGAGUGUUGUUGGUCGUGUCCGGUGCAGUUGGGCUCCUAGAUUAUGCCCUAGACCUGUUGGUCUUAGGAUAGCUGCAGGACUUUGAUGUUGUGCUUGGUAUGGAAUGGCUGGCGCGAUACUAUACUACGAUCGACUAUGGAGCGAGAAAAGUGACGUUCCGCGAGCCAGGCCAGGAGGAGUUCACGUACAGGGGCUGCAGGAGUACGUUGUUUGCCACUUGGAUUUCGUCGGCGAUGGCUAGACAGUUGAUAAGUAGAAGAUGCACUGCUUUUCUGGCGACGGUUGUAGAGGUGCCUACGGCGGCAACGGGACUCGAGGAUAUCUCUAUAGUUCGCGAGUUUCUAGAUAUUUUUUCCUCGGAGUUGACGACUUUGCCGCCGGAUAGAGAGAUCGAGUUUGUGAUAGGAACUACGUCAAUCUCGAAGGCACCUUACCGAAUGGCACUGGCAGAGCUAAGAGAGCUGAAGGCGCAGCUUCAGGAUCUGAUGGAUAAGGGGUAUGUGAGACCCAGUGUAUCGCCUUGAGGAGCGCCGAUGUUAUUCGUGAAGAAGAAGGAUAGUUCACUUAGACUGUGUAUGGAUUAUUGGGAGCUGAAUAAAGUGACCAUCAAGAACAAGUAUCCUUUGCCGCGCAUUGAUGAUCUGUUUGAUCAGCUGCAAGGAUCUUGUAUCUUUUCGAAGAUUGAUCUCCAGUCAGGUUACCAUCAGUUGAGGGUGAGGGCCGAGGAUGUUCCCAAGACGAUUUUUCGGACUCGGUAUGGGCAUUAUGAGUUCACUGUGAUGCCUUUUGGAUUGACGAAUGCCCCUGCCACUUUUAUGGAUUUGAUGAAUAGAGUGUUCAAACCGUAUUUGGAUAGAUUCGUGGUUGUAUUCAUUGAUGAUUUUGAUAUAUUUUCGGAGUGAUGUUGAGCAUGAGGAGCACUUGAGGAUAGUGUUACAGCUUCUGAGGGAGAAGAAGUUGUAAGCUAAAUUGAAGAAAUGCGAGUUUUGGCUACGGGAGGUUUCUUUCUUGGGCCAUGUGAUUUCUACAGUUGGAGUAGCAUUGAACCCGAAAAAGAUUGAUACUAUUCGGGAUUGGCCCAGACCGACGACAGUUACUGAGGUGAGGAGUUUCCUUGGACUGGCAAGCUGUUACCCUCGGUUUGUGGAAGGCUUUGAGAAGCAUUCCACACCCCUCACUCGAUUGACUCGAAAGAGAAUUAAGUUUAUCUGGAGUGAGGAUUGUUAGAGGAGAUUCGAUGAGUUGAGACAGAGGCUGAUGUCAGCUCCUAUCCUUGCCCUCCCAGUGAUGGGGGAAGGAUUUGUGAUUUACAGUGAUGCAUCGCAUAGUAGUUUGGAUUGUGUGCUGAUGCAGCAUGGUAGGGUAAUUGCUUAUGCUUUUCGGCAACUGAAGGAUCAUCAAUUAAAGAUCAGGCCAAAGGAUGUGCACAAAACGGCGUACCGUACGCGGUAUGGCCAUUAUGAGUUCACGGUAAUGCCGUUUGGGCUUACUAACGCCCCGGCAGCAUUUAUGGACUUGAUGAAUCGAGUCUUUAGGCCGUUGUUGGAUCGAUGCGUCGUAGUGUUUAUAGACGACGUGUUGGUUUACUCAAAGAGUGAAGAGGAACAUGAAGAGCAUCUGAGAGCUGUGUUGCAAAUACUCAGACAAGAGAAGCUCUAUGCAAAGUUAAAGAAGUGUGACUUUUGGCUAAAGGAGGUCACAUUUUUGGGCCAUAUGGUGUCGGGCGAUGGAGUGUCGGUAGACCCGAAGAAAGUUGAGGCAAUAAAGGAUUGGCCUCGCCCGACGAAUGUAGCGAAGAUCCGCAGUUUUUUUGGACUGGCGGGCUACUAUCGGUGGUUCGUGGAGGGGUUCGCCAAAAUAACCACUCCACUAACGCGCCUCACGCAUAAAGGAGUAAAGUAUGUUUGGAGCGACGAUUGCGAUCGGAGCUUCGAGGAGUUAAAGAACCGGUUGACGUCGACCCCGGUGCUUGCCUUGCCAACUCCGGGAGAGACCUUUGUAGUGUACAGUGAUGCCUCGUAUGUUGGUCUCGGGUGUGUAUUAAUGCAGAAUGGGCGGGUCAUUGCUUAUGCAUCGCGCCAGUUAAAGAGUUAUGAGAAGAACUACCCGAUUCACGACCUCGAGUUAGCCGCGGUGAUCUUCGCACUAAAGCUUUGGAGGCAUUACUUGUAUGGUGAACAUUGUGAAGUAUAUACCGAUCACAAGAGUCUAAAGUACCUGUUCACCCAGAAAGAGUUGAACAUGCGACAGCGGCGGUGGUUAGAGUUGCUAAAGGACUAUGAUGUCACCAUACUAUACCACCCCGGAAAAGCUAAUGUCGUGGCCGAUGCUCUAAGUAGAAAAUCGGCGAAGAACUUAGCGACGGCAAUUACGCCUCAACCGCUAUUGCAAAAGGAGAUGCAGCGAUUCGGGUUGGAAGUAGUAGCGCCGGGAGUGCCGGCUACACUUGCCGCAUUAAUUGUGCAACCGACCCUAUUGGAAAGAAUCAAGGAUCUUCAAGCCUCGGAUCCUUAUCUUCAAAAGAUACGAGGGGAAGUUGGGAAUGGCAAUGCCAAAGACUUUGGCAUUGGAGCUGAUGGCGCACUUCGAUUUCGAAAUCGUUGGUGCGUGCCCAAGGAUGAUGAGUUACGAAGGGCGAUCAUGCAAGAAGCGCAUCAAUCUCCCUAUAGCAUACACCCCGGCGGCACAAAAAUGUACAAACACCUGAAGGACCAUUACUGGUGGCCGGGUAUGAAAAGAGAUAUUGGGGAGUUUGUGGCGCAAUGUUUAACGUGCCAACAAGUGAAAGCCGAGCGCCGAUUUCCGGCGGGAAAGCUACAAAGUCUACCAAUACCCGUUUGGAAAUGGGAAGAUAUAGCGAUGGACUUUGUUACCGGUUUGCCUCGAUCACAAGGCGUACACGAUGCGAUAUGGGUGAUAGUGGAUCGAUUGACAAAGUCGGCACACUUCUUGCCGAUACAUACUACGUGGUCGGGAGACAAGUUGGCUCAAGUAUAUCUCGACGAGGUUGUGAGACUUCAUGGGGUUCCAGUGUCGAUCGUGUCGGAUCGCGACCCAAGGUUCACGUCCCACUUUUGGAAGAGUUUAGAAGACGCGCUAGGCACACGGCUCGACUUCAGUACAGCGUUUCAUCCUCGUGUAUUCUUGAGAGUAUCGCCGAUGCGAGGAGUCAAACGAUUUGGGGUCCGUGGGAAGCUAAGUCCCCGUUAUGUCGGACCGUUUGAGAUAUUAGAACAUGUGGGUGCGGUGGCAUACAAGCUCGCACUACCACCGAGACUCGCGGGAGUUCACAACGUGUUUCAUGUGUCCAAUCUCCGAAAGUAUAUUCGCAACUCGACGCAUGUAUUGGAGUACGAGCCCGUGGAGCUACGAGAAGACAUGUCCUACGAGGAGUACCCGGUGUGCAUCCUCGAUCGAGAGGUGAAGAAGUUGCGAAGUCGCAAGAUUCCGUAUAUAAAAGUCCAAUGGAGCAACCACGCGGCGCGAGAAACCACUUGGGAGCUCGAGGAAACCAUGCGAUGAGAAUAUCCGCAUCUGUUUGAGUCGACGAGUUAAGGUAUGCGUAAUUUUGCGGACGAAAUUAUUUUAAGGGGUAGAGAAUGUAAUAUACCGGAAAUUCGGAACAUAAAUGUCGAACUUUAGUCAAACUGACCAAAGUGCGAGGAUGGUACACUUCGGAAAGUCCGAAGGUGUUAAAACGAUUAAAAGCGAGUUACGGGAGGUUUUUCGAGAGCUAUAGAAUCAAAAUCUGCAUUCAGCAGUCUUGAGCUCUCGGGGACCGGUCCCUGGUGGGAGAGACCGGUCCCCGAACGCGUAUGAAAUGAGACAGCCGAAAAAUCGGCUAAGUCCUGAGGAAUUAGCUCUCGGGAACCGGUCCCUGCCUGAGAGACCGGUCCCCGAGAGACCGGUCCCCUCAAAGAGAGACCGGUCGCAUUGCGCGCAGCAGCUCUGGCUGCGCUGGGAGAGCUCUCGGAGACCGGUCCCUAGUCGGGGAGACCGGUCCCCGAGCCCGAAAUCUGCCCAGUCCAGGUAGUUGAAUAAGAUGAAAGUUGAGGGGUUUAUUUGCAUUUUUGCAACCCAUGGAUUAUGUAGAGGGCUGAGAGAGCCUUUUCUCUCAUUCUCUCCCUCACACACACUCUUCUCUCCCUCUCUCUCUCUCUAGAAGGCAAAGGAGAAGAAGAAGAAAGAAAGAAAGGAAGGAAAAGAAGGAAAAGAAGGUGAAGAAGAAGAUCAAGAGGUGAAGCAACUUCAUCUUCUUCCUCUCUAGUGCAAGAAAGGAAAGCUUAUAAGGUGAGCUUUGAACCCUAUUGUAGUAAAACCCUAAAAUGGGCUUUGAAUAAACCUAGAAAUGGUUUUAAUGGAUUGUUUAGAGUCUUUGAAGCUUUUCUUUUGCUUUUUUAGAGAUCAAAACCAAGAAAUGGGGUAAUGAGUAAAGCUUGAAGGUGAGCUUGACCCCUCACAUGGUAGAAUCCAAACUAAGGUUUGGAUUGAAUUAAAGAUGGUUUAGAUGGACUCUUUAGAGUAGAAUGAAGCUACUUUUGCUUCUCUUUGAGAUCAAACCCUAGGUUUGAUGAAUGCUAUGGAGUUAGGGCACCAAAUUGGGGCUUUUGCUCAUGGGGAUUUCUAAGUGCAAUUGACCCUCUAGAAACCUAAUUGGGGGUAUUUCCGACGCGUUGGUGCACUCGGAUCAACGUUACGAAAAGUCUAUAGAAAGAUAUGGGCAAAAUGGCCUAAGUUGGCUUCGUUUUGCCGCAGGUGAAGAACGAGGAGCCUGUAAAUCUCAAGAAAAUCGUCGGAGCACCUAAAUAGACCUACGAGGUGGGUGGUGUUUCUCAAACUCAUUGAACUUCUCUCUAUGCCUAAUGUGUCAUUCAUUUGAGCAUGUAUAUACAUUGUUAUAUGCAUUUUAGGGUAAAGUAAUGAUGAGAAUGUAAUAAUGCGUGAUUGUGAGUACAACUUGCAUAAUAUGAUGAAUGAGAACAAUAUAAACGUCGAAAACCCUAGGUGCAUGCAUGAGAGAAAAGUGAGAACCCAAAGUGAGCAAAAGAACCGGGUGGCACAAUGACAUAGAUCGAGUGGCAUUUGAAAAUGUAAAAUAAAGUGACACUAGAGUUAGUGUGAGCCAAAGAACCAAAGUGAUGUAAAGAAUGAUGAAAAUGACAAUGUGUAAAGUUAAAGUAAAAUGGGGCAAUAAGAACAAGAAAUGUAAAGAAUAAGAAUGCUAAAGAUAGCAAAAGUAAGAGAAAAGUAAAGAACAACGAUUGCUAGAGUGGCAACAUAAAGUGAAAUAAAGAACACUAGAGUUAGUGUAAAGUCAAGAUUGAACUUAUAAAUCCUUUGAGUUAAGGAUAUGAUCAUACUUGCUAUGAGUUCCGUGCUCGAGGGCGGUCGCUCCCCCUCGGGCGAUGCGCUCCGGAGUUAUGCAUCCGGGUUGGAGUAGACCCGUAAGGACGGUCCUAGCGGGUGAGUUCCUGCGAUGAUGGACUUAAUGUGAAGCAAGUUAAUGUGGCGAAACCCCCGGGUUAGCCCUGAGAUUAAAGAACAAAGAGCAAAGAACAAAGUACAAAGAACAAGAACAAAGAGUAAUGUGAAAAGAAUAAAGAACAUGCAUAACCUGCAUUUAUUUAAUGUUGAGCAUAUUUCUUGCUAUUUGUUCAGGCAUAUUAGCAUCAUGUUAUAGAUUGGUUACUAUAUCCUGCUUAUCCUUUCUAUUAUGCCUGAGUUAGUCCUAGUGGGAAAGUCGGUGAUGUUGAGGCCGAACCCACUGGGAACUUUGUUGUAGUUCUCACCUCACUAUUUCCACAGAGCCGGGACCGAGCGAGCCGGCGAGCGACCGAGGUAAAGGUAUCGCGCCUUAGUCAGAGGCCACCAAAGUUGGGUUUCAUUUUGUAGUAAAGUACCCUAUGAUCAUCUUUUGUACAUGAUGGUAAAUGAUGUAAAGAAAAGAAUGUAAUGUGUAUUUUGAGGUAAAUGUGAUGUAAGAAAGAAAUGAUGAAAUGAAAUGUAAGGAAUUCGAAAAUGAACAAGAUGAAUGCAAUGUAUAUGAUCAAAAAUGAAUCAUAGUACAAGUGAAUGUUUAGUUUCCUUUUUCUUUCACUAAUGGCUAUUGCUUACCCUCGUGUAAGCCGUUUGUGUAUGUUUCCGCUAGUGCUUUUCUCUAUUGAUGAAAAUGUACAUGUGAUGAGCCUUGGGCGGAUAGGGGAAACCCUGUCCGUUCGGCGUCUGUUUGACGUGCUCGGGUCGGGCCAAAUUGGCAUCGGUCUCGGGGCGUGACAGACCACCUCAGUGGUGGUGUGCGGUAUAGCUCGGUGCUUUAGGACCGGCCACCUCAGUGGUGGUGAGUGAUAUAACUCAGACGUAGGCGGGACGGGUUGGCAGUCCCUUGACAGUAUUGUCGUUGUUAUAGGGGACGCAUAUCUAUAGAUAGUUAGAGUUGGUUAGUGAUAGUAUAGUGGCAUAUAGCUGUAGAGUUUUACCAGCUUCCUUUACUAUCCUUCUGCAUACUUUCUGUAGACUUAGUGGGUGAGCCGUUGAGGUCGGUAGCGGUACCCACUGAGAACUACUUCUUCUUGCAGUAGUUCUCACACCUAGUUGUUGACCCCUUUUUGCAGAGCCUUCUUCUGCAGCUGCUGCUGUCGUCAAUACUGAUCGUGGAAAGGGGGUUGCGAGCUAGAUCCCUUCCCUGGUUGCAGUACUAGAGACGUACCAGCUACAUGUAGUUUUGGUUUCUGGUUCAUGUACAUACUUAUGCUGUUACUCGCUGGAGCGAGAGAUGUUGCAUCAGGGAGACUUUGUAUGUAUGGUGAACCUCAUGUUUAUUUAUAUACAGUUCAAUUUAGCAACUCUAUACUACUAGUUGUAGUUUUUUAUGAUUAUAGAUACAGGUACAGCUAUCGCUUCGUAUACAGAGAAAAUUCUUUUGUAUACCUCUGUUGGCGUGCUCGGGAAAACGUGGUAAUCCGGGGCAUGACAGAUUAAGUUGGUAUCAAAGCUUAAUAUUAGGUCAUUGGGACCUAGAAAACUUUAAGCUUGGCAAACCUUAGGAAGGCAAGACGCAACAGGCGUGAUUUAUCGCGAAAGUUAGCGAUUUAAAUUUAAAAUUCGAGUUCAAAAUCAUAAUCACGUUUUAAGAAACAAUUUUAUUUACUUCUGAUUUUCCGUAACUAAAAUCAAAAAACUGAUUCUAAAAAUCAAUAUUAGACUAAAAAAAAAACGUUAUGAAACACCCUAUUGAAGGAAUUCCAACUUUUAUAUUUAAUCUAAUAUAAUAUAAGUUUGUAUGAUAUAAAAUUAUUUUUUAUAUAAUAUUAUCAAUAACAAAAAUAGAAUAUAUAUUAUAUAUAUAACCUUUGGGAUGCCGGCUAUAAUUCUAUCAAUAGCACUAAGCACUUGGUGCUACCAAGUUUUAUGCCGUUAGAUCUAUCCUUUUGACCAUUUUCACCCUUUAGAUCAUACUAUUCCACUAAUCACCAACUAAAUCCUUAGAGAGCUUUUGGUUCAGGAACAAGGGGGGGAAUAAGUCCUUCUUCCCUCUAUUUCUAAACGCUACGUUUCGUACCCGAGAUCAGUAGUUCUCGAAUUUCUGGAAUAAGUCGGUAUAAGGAUGGAACUGCUUUUCCACUAUUUCCUUAGAACAAACUUGUUCCCAGGUGAGAAUAAGAUUAAUUAAAGUCUAAAAAUAAUUUUAAUUAUGUUAUUAAAUAAUUAAAUAAUUUAAUUAAUAUAUUUAAAAUUUUAUUUAUUGCGUAAAUAAUAAAAUAAUGUAUUAAUUUAUUAUUUAUAAUUAUUAAUUAAACUAUUUAUUAUUUAUAAUUAUCAAUAAUUACUUUAUUUAUUUAUUUUCUAAUUUAUAAUUAAUUAAUUUUUAAUUAUUUUAUUAAUUUAUAAUUAACUAAUUUAUCUUUAAUUUAUUCUUAAUUAAUUAAUUAAUUAUGAAUUAAUUACUUAAUUUACUAUUAAUAAUUAAUUAUUUUUUAUUUUUUAUUUUUUAUUUUUUAUUUUUUUUAUUUUUUACAAUUAUUAAUAAUUAUUUAAUUAAUUAAUUUAAUAUUAAUAAAUUAAUUUGUAAUUUAUAAUUAUUAAUAAUUUAUUAUUAUUAAUUAUUUAAUUUGUUCUUAAUUAAUGUAUUAUUAUUUAUAAUUAUUAAUUAUUAAUUAGCAAUUUUAUUAUUAAUUAUUUAUUUAUUUAUUUAUAAUUAUAAAUAAUAUAUUAUUUAUAAUUUAUUAUUAAUUAAUAAUUUAUUAUUUAUGAUUAUUUUAUUUAUUUAUUCAUUUAUUUAUAAUUUAUAAUUAUUAAUAAUUUAUUAUUUAUGAUUAUUUAUAAUUUAUUAGUUAAUUUAUUAUUUAUGAUUAUUUAUUAUUUAUUAGUUAAUUUAUUAUUAUUUAGUUAAUUUAUUACUUAUAAUUAUUAUUAUUAUUAAGUAAUAUUUUGAUGUUAAUUUAUUAGAUAAAAAUAAUUUUAAUUUAAAAUUAUAACUCUUAUUCCCUUUGUUCCAAUCUAACCAUCCAAACACUACUAUUUAUCUUAGUCCUAGGAACAACCCAAUUUUCAUCCAAACAAAAAAUUGGUCUAGUUCCUGCUUAUACCUAAACUUUUACCUAUCCCUGGAAUAAGCAGUUCUUACUUAUACCCGAACCAAACGCAGUUUAAGCUAACUGCUUAUCCUUUCAUCUAAGAGCCGAAAUGUAGUACACUGAACUUUAACAAAUUGUAAGGUUCCAGUGUAAAAUUAGUAACUAGAACUAUUUUAGUGGUUUUGAGAGUUGUCGGGAGGGUACCGACAUUUAACUUAAGAUUUAUAAGUGCGAGAAUGGGUUACUAAUACUAAAAUCUGCAAACUGCAGGUUUCGAAUGUUGAGUACCAGUACCUGAGUGGGGUACCGAUACCCCAGAGGGUUGCCAGAAUGGGUAGCUCUCGGGUUUGAAAGGUUAAUGCCAACUACCGGUACCGAGUCGGUGAGUACCGGUACUGCAUUAAGUAAGUAUACCGGUACAAUGCACUAAACCCAACUGUCCCGCGCUCGGGUUUGGCAUGUUUGAGUGCCGGGUACCAAUACCUCAACCCGAGUACCAGUACUCAAUGCGGCAGAUUGAGUUGUUGAGGGGUCUUUCGGCAAUUUUACAACAAUGGUUAUCCAUAUUAAUCCCCCAAACCGACCCUCAACUAGUUUUCUCAUGCUAGGAGCAGAGAAAGCUCAGGGUAAGCUCUUCUCUUUCUCUCUCUAGAUUCCAUUCCAAUUCUUGGUGGAAAUUGAUGGAAUUGAGCUCUUUCUUUUCUCCUCUCCAUGGUAGCUGGGCUUGAGGUCUUUGGAGGAGCUGUAGAAGUGAAUGAGGAGAUAUUUCUGAGAAUAACUUCAAUCCUAGCUCAAGGGUAAGCUUGGCUUGGAGCUUUGAAAAGUUAGCUUCUUAAUUGCUACCUUGUAUAUGGUUUUGGUUGAUUUGGAGUUUAGUUAUGGAUUAGCUCUUAGCUGAGUUGUAGAACUUAUUUGGCUAAGUAUAUAACUCUCUUCUAUGUUGGAAUUGAAGUGCCCAACCUGAAGUGGAGUGUGGAUUAGAGUUUUGCUCUAUACAAGGUAGGUUUCUACCUAUCUUAGGUGCAUUUUUGAGGAUUUUGGUAGGAGGCUUAGUAAAAGCUCCUAAUUAAUUUAGAAUUGUUAUUAGGGAGCUUGAAGGCUAGAGGCAUCUUCAUUCAAGCAAUUGAAGGGAUUCUACGAGUAUUCGGUGGGUUUGACCUCACCGAAAUAGGUGAACUCUCCCUAUGUUCUUGUUAUUGUUAUGAAAUUGAAAAUCAUGCAUACUUGUAUUAGUAGCAUUAUAAAGAAAUUGUUGAGUGUAUUAGAUAUACAUAUACCAUGUGGCAAAGUCAUGUCUCUAUGUAGUAGAGAGUAUUAUGCAUUAAAUUCAUGAAGCAUACAUGAUAUGGUAUUUAGUAUGCUUGUGUAGACAAGUUAAAAUGAGCAUUUGUAUGAUAGAACUAGCAUGAACUUCAUGUUAUUGUGUAUAACUUAGUUAAAUAACUCCGACCUAUGGGUCGUUAGAGAACAUACCAUGUUUUAGACAUGAUGAUUGAGAGCUUUGUUCUAUAGAUCAUACUUGCUGGCCAUUGUAUUCAUUCGCACAUACUUGUGAGGAUCGCUCCCCACAAGCCGACACUCCGGAGUUGGCCUACGCUACAUCAUGCUCGCCCGUGCGGGAUUGGGGCCGAAGUGGAUUGCUGUGGGGAGUGUAUACUGCCACGGGGCCAUUAGGCACGGCGCAAACCGAAUUACACUUGUGUAGGUCCUUAUAAAUUGGGUAAUGAUAACUAAACAUGUUAAUUAAAUUGUCAUUACUAGAUAGUAUACAUUAGUAGACAUAACAUUUACAUGCUUACUCAUAGUAGAGUAGUUUUUAUACUUGUUGAGUAUUAUAUGCAUUGGAGGCAUAGGUAGUAUUAGCAAUUCAUUACUUGUUAAAUGUUCAUAUCAGGUUAUAGUUAUACAUGAUUACUAUGUAUGCCUCAGGAACCUAGUGGUAUAAUUCGCUAAUGUCGACGGCUUACCCACUGGAAACUAUUGACUAAUAGUUCUCAUGCCCAGUUUGUUGUUAUUUUUGUUUACAGAGUCAUCCACAGCGAUCGUGGCAAGGGAAUCGCGUCUAGGUAGGCAUAGCUUAGAAUUCCUGUUAGGUGGUUAUCUUUCGUUUUGCUUGUUGGAGAGGUGUCUUAUGUUGGAUGUAUAGUGACCACCCGUGUUGUUGGUUGAUUGCUUUGUAGCUACUUGAUGUAUAUUUGUAUUUUGGGAGUUGUAUAUGUUAGUAUUUUUCUUUCCUUUCUACUUGCUUUACAGAGUAGUAUUUGUCAUAUGCUCUGAUAUCAUGUUAGUUGUUUCUAUUUCUUGGUGUUAUUUCUACCAUGUUCAUUGUAGACGCCUUGUAUAUUCUGAGUAUAUGGCGGGUUUGUGCACGUAUCGGGUAGGCUUUCGCUGGGGCCCGGGCGUGACACGAAAAUCUAAUAGCACCAAUGACUUAGUGCUAUUAAUAGUACUCUAGAAUAGUUCAAAUCUAUGAUAUUGUAUUGUUUUGCAUAAAAAAUCCACUUAAUAGAAAGGAAAAUGCUACUUGUACACCCCAAAAAAGUUGAUGUGAUAAGUAGAGUACUAAUGGCCUUGGGUUAGAGUGGGUGUAAGAUGUACACCCCACUUUGAGGCGUAAUGGUAGCAUUACUCUAAUGCAAAUAGGGACCACUACUUUGAAUUUUAUAAAUUCAGUCAGAAUUUUUAAUAAAUUGAUCAAAAUACCCUUAAUUCUUUCUCUCAGUCUCUUUUUUUCCUCUUGUUUUGUAGAACCCAUGGUUGUAAUUAUAAGAACUAAUGAUUUGAAAAAAAAUUAUGUAAAUGUCACUCUCCGUGAGUUUUAAUAUGAUCCAUUGUAUUGAUUCAAAAGUAAUUAGGACCUAUGAGAAGUUUACGGAAGUAUAAAUGGGUCCGAAACUGCAAAUUUAAAAAGAGGGCUAAACCAAAAUUUUCUUCAUAGGUCUGGCUCAAUAUGACAUUUUAUAUGAAUAUUUCAAAGUUUUGAAAAAUAAAACAUGCAGCACUAAAGUAUACUUGAAAACGAACGAUAGCAGCUAAGUUCACCGAAAACGGAAUUUCAGAUAAAAAGUUAUGGGAUCUUGAAUCUGAAACACACGUGCUAUUUUCUGCAAUAAACUCACCACGUCAAGUUCAAAAUGUAAUUUCUACAAAAUAUCCAAAAGAAUUCAACAAUUAAUAACACUAUACAAUCUACAUUCAGAUAUGAACGCGCUAAAGCAAGUUUUGUUGAAAUUGGAUGUUCGCUUGCAAAACUAUAGUAUCUUGAAGUCAGCCUCCACAUGCAGUCUCAAGGACUACAACAGAAACUCAAUUUUAUCAAGGGUUUUCACACAAUUUGUCAUCGAGAAAGGGCUAGAUUUUGUAAUACCAUGACGGAGGACUUGACCGCGGAUCAUCGUGCAAUUGUUGUAGCGCUAAUCACAAAAAAAGCGUGAUGGACAACCCUAGCUGUCAAUGAAACCCGAAUCCUAGGCCAUCUCGUUACGAUCUCGCUCUCCGCCUUCUUUUCCCGAUCUCCCUUCUUCUUUCUUGUCGCAACCAUAGCCAUCCAUGCCGUGAACCUCCCCUCUUCACUGCCAGCCAACUCUCCCUAGUCGUGCUUCGGUGAUUUGGCGUGUAAACUUCUCCCAUGCGGCUGCUAUACCUUCCAAAAUUGCACUGUAGCCUUGGCUGUGACCACAAUCGGAUCCUAGCCGUUCAUGGGCCUUGCCGCAGCCUUUCUUGACUUAUUAGGGUAAGCCUCGACAUCCUCACUCCCCCUCGAUCGAUCCCUGCGGCGGUACAAUCGUCGGAGACACUGUUGGUUAGAUCCAAUCAAAGUCCUUACCGCUGUUUCCUGCACUAAACAACAGACUUCUCUAGGCCGACACUUCCAAUCUCAAUCUUCCAGUGCCGCCCUAACCAUUUUCUGGUGAGCACAGUAAGAAAACUACUACGGCAACUAGAUCUAGGUUUCCUUGUCACUGUCAGUCAUUGUUGAUGUCCCGAAGCGUAAGAAUGGCGACGAGCGUAAGAAUUGUGACCAACACUGCGUCUCCAUCCUAACUACACUAUUUUUGGGUUUUCUGAACAUAGAAAACAUUAGUAAUGCCCUAAACUCCAUCCUUUCAUUGUAAAACCACAUUAAUCAUAAUUGUCGGUGUUGUCGGCGGGUUGCGGUGGACCGAUCGUUGUUGGAUCUGUCGGAAUGCUUAACAACCCUCUUGCUGGUCAGAGAUUGAUGUUCGGAAUGACUAAAAUAGGGAUGUCACGCCGUGCGACCAACCGCCAAUUUGGACCGGGUCGCGGUGCCGACGACAGACCGCCGAACAGACCGGGGUUUUCCCUGUACGCGGACAGAGUCUCCCCUGUACGUUCUAGGCGUCGCAAUCCAAACAAUGUACAUUACAAUGGUUCCAACCAGGAACAGAUAUCAAUCAUGAUUGCGUAAGGAAAGUAUCACAACAUAACACAUCCUAUGUUAUUACAUACAUUCACAUUAGAUUCAUUUAUUUACAUCGCACCUUAUAUAUUACAUUCAACUUCCAAAUACAAUCUAAGUUAUUACAUCAUAGGUAUUACAAGGUAAAUACAUUUUAUUCCUUUCAUUUUCUAUACCCCUAAGCUAUGUCGACGGGGUACUGCUAGCUCUGGUCUCUGGAGGUAGGGCGCUAUCUAUGGAGCUACGCCCUUGCCUCGCGCCGUCGCGCCGCUCACGUGCGAACCUGUAAAAUCUCAAAACAACGUGGGGUGAGAAGCAACUCCAUGGUUCCCAGUGGGUACGGCCACCCAAGGGAGGAGCUCAACCAACAGAUCCAAGGGAGGCAAAUACAAGUUAGUCCAAUAAACAGAUAGAUAUGUAUAUCAUAAACAUGCAACUAACUUUACCUUACUUUGCCUCACAACUGCAACGAUGCCAUGCUAUAUGCAACAGAAAUAUAUGCAACAUGAAUAUAUGCAAUAACUAGUAGAAUUAUUGAUUCUACAAUCAAUCUCGCUAAUCUUAGCUCAUGUCAUCCAACUCUAAGGUUUCUACUACCUUAGGUUAUCACAUUUACCACUAGCCCUCAAGGUUCUAUCUACCUUAUUCCAGCUAGCCACCCGACUCGGCCUCGAGUCAAUCAACAGCGGAUAAUCCGCGCUCUGCCCGGCUCGAGGUGAAGGAUCCUGUCGCAUGCACCUCAGCCUGCAAGCCAAGAACCACAUCGCCCAACGGUCCGCCCGAAGGUCCGUGCACCGUGGUCAGGGAUCCGCCAGUGAGAGAGGAACAUAGCCGCGUACACCCAUAGCCAAGACCCCCGAUAGGGAGAGGAACAUGCCGCAUACACCCUAGCGCUCUUUGUUCUUGCUUAGUCACAAUCCUCAAAGUUCUUCCGGUGGGAGAGGAACAUGCCACAUACACCCGCGGUCCAAGAACUAUUGAGUUCACAAGUCUCGGGAUUCCGGAAUCCACUUCACAAGUCAAGGGUCCAUAUCCAACCCUAUGUUGUCGACCUAUCUAGGUCCAAUGCACUUUCCACCCUAGGUCCGACUGACUCUAGGUCUAAUGCCUCAAUUUCACAACCUAGGUUUACCCUAACUCUAGAUUCAGUUCUCAACCUAUAUUCUUUAACACUAGGUCAGAUGCCACACUCCUAGAUCCCAACUCUAGGUUCAUACUCAACCUAUGUUCUUUAACACUAGGUUAGAUGCCACACACCUAGAUCUCGACUCUAGGUUCAUACUCAACCUAUGUUCUUUAACACUAGGUUAGAUGCUACUCGUUAUUUAUCCUAGGUUCAACAACACUAGGUUCAAUGUCAUCUAUGUUCGACCUAUAUUUAUUAACACUAGGUUAAUGCCACUCGAUCUACUUGAUAUCCUAUUGUCAUAUCGAGUACUAUAGACACCCGCAUUUCAUCUGGCAUACAUUCUAUGAUGUCAACAUGCAUACAUAAUCUCAUAAUGCCGAUCAUGUCUCCUAUGAUUUCUAUAUCAUUUCAUAUGCACUUACUUAGCAUUUGCAUCAUAUUAUUAACAUGCAUUAGCUACAUGAAUCAACCACAUGCUUUAUUCACAUUUAUAUGCAUCAUCUAUGUGCCUCAUUUACAUUCAUAUGCAUCAACAUAGAUUCUUAAUCAUCUUAGACAUAAAGGGCGACCUAGUCGCUUCGGUACACACAACCCACCUUAACUCGCGUUCCGAUUGCUUGUCGACACUUGCAAUCGGCCUCCCGCGGCACUCGGCACCCGUUUGGGCCCGAUCUCACAGUUGCUCUCCAAGAGCGCGUCGCUUGGCCGUUUCAAGUGCUAACGAUCUUCGCCUCGCCGUUACGAUGCUCGGGACCCAAUUUCAUGAUUUAUGGACAUCGCCUCGGCCUUCCAGGCGGAAACGAAGCUUCAAGCAUCCGUUUCUUCAAUAUCUUUGUAACGGCUCGUCGGAUUGCCGAACCGUCUUCGCCAACGUGUUUCGUUACCUAUCAAUUAGGUUUACAGAGGGUUAUUUGAGAUCAAACCCAUCUAUUUACAAAAAUCUCAUUUUUGAGCCCUAGUUUGCGACUACGGUAAAAACCACCAUUCGAACUCUAGAUUCAAGCAUUAAACGUCUAUUAAGCUUGCUAGAACACUAAUCAAACCAUUUCUAGAGCAUUAGGAUCAAAUCCUAGAGAUCUACCAUUGUAGGGUUUGGAGCUUACCUUGCUAAGCUUGCUCUAAUGGUGAGAGGAAGAAGAAGAUGAUGUUGGUGAUGAUGAUCCCUCCAACUUCUUAUUCUCCUCCUUUUCCUUCUCCUCCUUCCUCUUCUUCUCCUUCUCUUUCUUUUUCUUUUAGAGAGAGAGAGGGGUGGUGUUGGGGUUGAAACGGUGAGGGAAAGAGAGAGAGAGAGGUUCCAACCCUCUCUAUACACUUAACCCAUGCAACAAUUAAAUAAAAACCCCCCAACAAGUCUCUUUUUGCAACAGCCCGAACUGGGCAUUUUCGGGGUUCGGGGACCGGUCUCUGCAUGAGGGACCGGUCCCUGAGAGACCGGUCUCUCUGCCUGGGACCGGUCCCAGAGAGACCUCCAGCCCAGACUUAGCCAAUUUUCAGCUUCGUCCGUUUUCGCUCUAUUUUCGCUCGUUUUCGUCCGUUUGACCUCCGAUUCAUUUCAAAUCGAACCGAGACUCUCCAAACAUGUUUUCAAACAUGUUUUCAUCAUCUUUCCUUCCUCGCUAAUGCCGGAUUUAGCUCACGGCCCAACUUAGCCUUUCGGGUUCCGUUUUCGCGCCUAUGCACACCGAAAUGCCCGAUUGCUCCAGAACUUCACCGAACCUCACAAAACCAUCCAAAUGGCUUUCCAAAGCAACGUACACCAUAACUUCAUAAUUUUAGAAAUCCGGUACCUUACAAGGGACUUCUCUAGCUCUGUCAGCACAAGAAGGUAAGGUACUAGCUUGUGACUCCCUUACCUCGAUCAAUAGCAGCGACAGAGGUAGAAGGCUCUGCAAGAAAAGAUAGCAAUAAUGGGCAUGAGAACUACUAUCACAAGUAUUCCUCACCUAUACCUUUAUACCUACUCAUGAUUUAGUUCGCUCUUUAUUCCUAGCUCUGGCAUUUCUGUUUCUAGUUAUUACAUGACUUGUAGAGUAGAUGAUCAUAGUUACUCAGACAUUAUAGAUGGGAUUAGUCUCAGUGGAUCUAUUGCUAUCUUAGCUGGGAGUUUCUCAGCGUAGUGCCGACUAACGAUUGUCGAUUGUUGGACCGUAAGAUACUUGAGCAUUCAUGCAUUGUGACCACCAUGCAUCUGCUACACAUGUUACGUACACCGGCGGACUGGCCCCCGCUGUGGUAUUCUUUACCGGUAGAGCGGUCUAAUCGACCCGCGAGCCACUCCGCUAUGCCAUCGAGUAUAGGGUUAUAUGUCAAUCCUGCUAGGUGACUUACUAUGGCAUGAGCCUAAGGUCCUUGUGACCAAAAGUGGCAUGAUUGGGUACUAUUACACUGAAUCUUAUAUUGAUGCAUUUACUUGAGUAGCAAUUUAUAUUACCCUACUUUUAUUCCUAUUGUUAUAAUCACUUGUCAAUUCAUUCUAUACCUAUCUACUUGCUUUUAUUCUUUUUUCUCCUCUAGUUCAUCUCCAUUCUCCUUAUCGUUUUUUCCUCUCUUUUUUCUUUUGUUCUCUCUCCAUUAUCUUCCUCCUCAACUGCCCUGUGUCAAUGCCAUAUUCUGCUCUCUUACCUCACUCACACCUCCAUCGACGUCCACUCGGAUAUGGCACAGAUCACGAAGGUAAGACUAUAGCGGAGCGCAUGACUGUGGACGACAAAAUGUGUAGCCAUAGACAAUGACGGCGACGAGGGUGCCGCAAAAUUUGAGAAUGAUGAAGAGGGAAAGCAUGUCAGGGCGCGAGAACAGGGGCGACAGCUGCAACAAAGGGCAAGGGAUGGGUCACGAUAGUGAAAAAAAGAUGUAGAUAGUUUAAAAAAAAAAAGAAGUAAUAAAAAAUUUAUAUGUUUUUCUUCUUGUAGUAUACUGAAGCUUGCAAAUAGUUAAAGUUCAGUAUAAAAUGGCUUAUGAUGUAUUAGAGGGGUUUCGCAAGAAUUCAAGACGAGUUGGGGCUAAUUUGGCACGAAAAAUAAUGUGAAAUCAAAGUUUUGAAAGACUAAUCUGUAGUUUGACCAAAUCCCGAAUUAGUAUCGGUACUGAUUCCUUGAGUAUCAAUACUCAGUAUAAGUCUUUGUGAGACAACGUUCGGGUUUUGUGCACUCAGAUUAAGUAUCGAUACUGGGCAUCGUGUAUUAGUGCUCGAGGAGCAUCGGUACACAUUGAGUUGCUCUGACUAAUCGCACUCUUGGAUUUUGUGGAACAACGAGAGUGUACCGAUACUCACAUAGGGAGUACCAGUACUUCUAUUCGUGUACCGGUACCCGCCCGCAUGCAGACUGUGUGAGAGGGGAUUUGGUUGCCUCUUUUAAUAACCUUUUACUCUCUCCCCCUUAUUUCUUUCUCACCUCCCACUCUUUCUACAGAGAGAGAAGCUAUCCCCCUCCACUCCAACUUCUUCCUCUUCCUCUCCACCAUUAUAUCUCCCUUACGCUCUCAACUCCAUCUCGAUUGGAGAGAAGUCUGAGAGCAAUCGACUCUCCAUGAUGUGUGUAAUAAAAAAAAGAAACCAAACUAAUAAGUUAGUAAAAGUAAAAUACAUGAAUUGAGAUAAAUGUAUAGGCUAAUGAUAUAGUCAACUAUUAUUGCAUAUUGUAUAUAUGUUGAGGCAUUGUAUUCGUAAUUCAGUUUACUACAUUUCUAUUGUAGAAAUAGAUAUUGUUCAUUAUCAUCAUCUACUAAUGCCUAUUCUGGACCGACUAAGUAUAGAGCACCAUUUUUGGUAGCUUCCAUCCUCAUGCUACCUUCGUUGCCAAUAUCAUGAGCACCCAUUAGAUAAUUCGAGAAACCUACACUGAUAUCAUUAUGAAGCAUUCUCGUGUGUAAUAAUCUUGCAGUUGCAGGGGCAACGACGCACGGCGACGACGGCAGCAACCAAGAGAAGCACGACAAGAAGUCGAGGCAGAUAGAGAGAGAGCGAUGUGAGAGAGAGAAAAAGAGCGAUGUAGUGUGAGAGGGUCUGUGGGAAAGAGAAGUCUGGUAGUAUUUUUUUGAGAAAAAGGUAGCACGCUACCCGCUUCAUUCAUUGGAAAAAUGAACUAGGCUACAAGGGUAGGGCAACUAGGGCCCCGAAAAAAAAAAAAAAAAAAAAAAAAAAAAAAAAAAAAAAAGGUUCAAGUAGGUAGAACCGAAUCCCACUCCUUCAGUAACUGCCGGAGAGUGAUGACAACCCUCUCAGGGUUCGAUUGGAUUUCCCUAAAGAUCAUGUCGUUUCUGGCCUUUCAAAUGCACCACCAGCAACCGACUAAAUCAGUAAGGCAGUCCCUUUUCUUUCUUCGGCUCUUCCUAAUCCUCCACAUGUCCCAAGGACUGUUAACCUCAUCCUCCAUGUCUAGAGUCUAAACUCCAUCUACACCUGACACUAAGAUGAACUUGCUAAAAACACACCUGGUGAACAGCUGGUCUACUGUUUCCUCAGCCGACCCGCAUAGUACGCAAGUUGAGUCUUGAACCCAACCUCUUUUAGCUAAUCUAUCGGUCGUAGGGAUUCUCUUAUUAAGGACAAGCCAGCAUUACACUUUAACCUUAAGAGGGAUUUUGACUCUCCACAAAAGAGAUGCUCGCACAUCCCUCGUACCCCCGUCCGACAGCGACACAUAGGUCGAUUUUACAGAGUAAGAACCAUCGUUGCUCCAUCGCCAUUGUAUAGUAUCUGGUCUAUUCUUCGUGGAAUAGUGUGAAAUCCUAUCUUUGAGCUCCGCGAGGCUGGUUCUCGUCCCUUGCACUUGGUUGUAAACGACUCCCAAAAUCCUACUCCAUUCCCAACUACCCCUCGUAAAGCAGUCACUAACUUUUAGGUUCUUUCCGUCAGACGAGAGGAAGGCCUCAGGGAAUAAAAGGUUUAGCAUGUUAUCCCCACACCACCGAUCUAACCAAACGUCGAUGUUGCACCCGUUACCAAGCUUGUAGGCCUUCCCCCAAGAGAAGAUAGUGCUAUGGCAGAGAACUCCCCUCCACCAGCUUGAGUAGGGUCUAAAUGAUUUGCCUUCUCUCAAAGGUAUUCUUCAACGAUAAUAUAAGUCUCUGAUUAGCUUGUUCCACUGUAACUGAUUACCUGUGUAGAAUUUCCACCACCAUUUAGUGAGUAGCGCUUAGUUCAUGAUCGCUACAUCCAAGAUCCCUAAAUCGCCUUCCUCCUUGCUCCGGCAUACAUUCUUCCAAGCCAUCAAGCAGCCCUUUCCUGCAGAGUUUCACCCACCGUUCCAGAAGAA